AAAACCCAGCUCCAUUGCAGAGCAAACAAGUAAAGUUUGUAAAGAGCUUGGCUCCUCCAUUCAUGGCUGCAAUGUUAGUCUUAUCGCCUAUCUGCCACGACCCAGGUAAAAUUUAACCACCAUCACCAUUCAGUUAAUGGGCUCAUUAUCCGCUAUUGCAUAGAUUUUACUGUUGCUUGUGGUUUCCAGAUUUGAGAAUCAACCGGCAGCACACGUUAAAUUUCUUCUUAGACGAAUAUAUUAUUUGUGAUACGCUUUAAUACUUUAGAGCAUUCAGUUUCUUGUUUUACCUUGCGUGGCAAUCUUAUUAGACCGUGCUAAAGAAAUUUUGAACUUCCAUAUAUAGCUUGAUUUCAAUAAAUUUUGUUAGAUACAAUUUUGGUAUGAGAAGGGCAAUUAAUUCUUGAAGUUCCAUAUGCUAUCAGGUAAAAUUAGAUUGUAAAAGAGGUAGGAAAAAGAAAAUACUGGCGUAUUUGAUCAAGCAAAUCAUAUUCAUCAUUGAAGCUCAUUUCUAAUAAACCAUAGGAUAAGGGGCGUAACAAGGACAUUGUACAUUAAGAGAAAAAGAGAAGUGGAAUAUUUCCCAUGAUGUUGCAAAGAAUUUUAAAAAUUGCUAUUUUCACUGUAUUGAAAAUAAUAUUUUUGCUGGCUAGGGCAAGCCAGUAAAAUCAGUUUCAUUGAUGAGAUAGCUGGCCAAAAAUAAAAACUUUUCUUUAUCCUUCAAUAUAGCUAGCUUUAAACUUAAUGUUGCAAUUUGAUCAUGUUGUUAUGGUCAUUAUGAUUACUAGCAACUCAUUUUUCUGAAACAAAGUUGUAAUAUGAUUCAAUGUGCAUUGAAAUGGCUUUAUCAGUCUAUCAGAUUUCAGUGCUCUGAAUGUUCAUUUUUGCAAUGCCUUGUCUCCAUCUCACGUGCGAACACCAGGUAGUCACAAGACAGCAGCUGAAACUUACUUUGCAGGAAAGAAUUUCAGCUUUUGUGAUUUAGAAUAAUUUCUUACAUCAUGAAAGAGGAGCAAGUUAUCACUAGUAUCCAGUGUCCAACUAGACUUGCUACAAUAUAUCGUCUUUCCCCACUAAAAUCAUUUCAUUGGAAGCAACAACUCUCCAUGGAAUUGGAACUCCAGAAAUAUGACACUUACAAUGUUUUAUGCUUACCAGUUUCUCUCGGCUUUUUUCAUGCUGCAGUGUCACUUGCGCAAACCGUGGAUAUUCAAAAGGGGGUCUCACUGUUCCGUCAAGCUUGCAUUGGGUGCCAUGAUGGUGGUGGAAACGUAAUUCAACCAGUAAGUCGCCCCAUCGUGAAGUCCAGAUAAUCAUCCUUUUGAACUGUAGCUUCCUCUCUAAUCAAUAACUUCCGAUAUUUAUCAGGGCGCAACGCUCUUUUUGAAAGAUUUACAGAGGUAACGUGGCACAAUUUCACUGCAUUUUCUCUUGCCGUCAACAUUCUGAACUGGUGUAACUAUAGGAGAAUUUAAAAAUAGGCCAGCUUGCAGUUGAAUGUGCUGGAACCUAAAUUGGGUUUACUUUUCAUAAGACUCGUUUGAGAUGAUUAUAUGUUCUCCAAGUAUAAUUAAAUGCCAUAAUAUGAUUAACAAAUGUAGGAGCUUCUAGGUUUUUAUUUACUUUUAUGCCCUCGAUUUUAAGAUAGUCCAUUGGCUGCCUGCCUCUACAGAAAUGGAGUUGACACAGAAGAUGAGAUAUACCAUGUUACAUACUUUGGAAAGGGAAGAAUGCCAGUAAGUUUUCUUCUAAAAGUUUAGCAUUUCUGCUGAACUAUUUUAACUUGGUAGACAACAAAGGAGUGUGAGUCCCCUGUUUGCAUGCAGGGCUUUGGUGAGAAGUGCACACCAAGGGGCCAAUGCACAUUUGGAGCACGUUUGCAGGAUGAAGAUAUCAAGCUUCUGGCACAGUUUGUGAAGUCGCAGGCUGAUCAAGGGUGGCCAAAGAUAGAAAGUAUGGAGGAUUGAUUCUUUGCAACCAAACUUCAUAAAUGUCGUAUCACAUCUUCAAUAUAAGGAUCUUUCCUUUUCAAUCUCUAGAUUACUGACAUUUAACCAUGGAUCGCUACAGCCUAUGACUUAGGAGCAUCAAAUUCAAUGUGGGGAGUUACUUAAUGCUUGUGUAAUUUUAAUGCUCAUAUUCAGGGACGGAUGCAGCACAUGAGCCCCCACUGGCCAAAAAAUAAUAAUAAUAAUAAAAGAGAAAAAUAUUUUAAUUUUCUAAUUAAUCCCCAUUAAAUUUAUUAAAAUAGUCACUAUAAAAUAUAAACCCCCAUAAAAUUUAAAGUUUGACUUUUAAGAAAUAUAAAUACUUAUAUUUUAAUUAAAAAUGAUGAUAGCCCACCACCUAAAAUAUUUUCUGUUCUAAAAAAUAUGGUUAAUUCUUCCAGUUUAUAUAAUAAUAGUAGAACGAACGUUUUCAGUAAUAAAACUCAUGAAGAAUCAUCUUUGGAAUCAGAUGGGAUAAGUGAUAGUUUGGUUGUUUAUAGAAGAAACAAUAAAUUCAAUAAUAUUGAUAAUGAGUCUAUUGCAUAACAUUUUUAAAAUAUAAAAAUGCGUAGAGACUAAUUAUAAAUGUAUUAGUAAAUAUUUUAUAUAUUCAAAAUUUUAUUUUUUUAUAUUUUACUAUGAUCUGAUUUAGCUCCGGAUAAAUUAUUUUUUUAGAUCCGCCACUACUCAUAUUGUGUUUACAUAGCACAAACUUACUCCGGCUAGCGUCGACGAGUUUUUGUAAGUUCUAACAGGUUUGACCUCGGGUGCCUCGAGUGAACUAACCAGGCUCAAAAUUGGGCCUGACUCUGUUUUGAAUGGGCUUGGCCCACUGUUUCUCGAAUUUGCAAUCAGUUUAGGUCAUGGGGCACCUUACAAAGUGAUGCAAUAAGUUUAAAAAAAAACAAAUGUCAAAUUUGUUAAAUUCGAAAAUUGGAUUCAAACUGUGAAGGUUUCAAUGUAAAUCCAAAUAAAUCUUAAUUCAAACUAAUUUAAUGAAAUAAUACAAAGAGCUCGGAUGAUUGGAAAUAAUAAGCGAGACUUGGAAAUGGACGGAAAAAAAAAAAAAAAAAAAGCCUCUACUGUUAUUAUUAUUAUUUUUUUUUUCAAAAGAUAAUACUUCAUUAAAAUCGAGAUCACAAUCAAUCAAAGGUGGUAGCUUAAAUGUGGUGGAAAAUCUUUCAACCAUAUAUAAGCAUCCAAACAACGGACCUAAUAGUUAGCUAAUACAUCUUUGCUAUACUAAAGACUCCCUUGAGAUGUGAUGUGGAAAAACACGAAAGCAAAGGAGUGUAUGAUAGUCAAGAGACAAAGCCUCUAUUAUUGCAUCAUGUAGAAAUAAAAUAAAAGAAAGGUCAUGAAAAUGACGAAGAGAUAAAAAAUGACUAUCACUAAAUCAUGAAAAGGAAAUAAAGAAGCAUCGUGAAAAUAAUGUUUAGUAUGAUAAUCAAGAAAAAAGACUCUUGGAUUAACACCUUUGACGUGCAUAGUUUCCGUAGAAAAAUGAGAGAGGAAAAAAAAGGAAUAAAAGAGAGACACGGAGUUUGGUUUAUCAAUCAGUAGUCACCAAUAAUUAAGAGAAUUUGAUAUCUCACCAAAAUUAAGAAUUAAUGAAAAAAAUAAUCAUAUUAUUAACAAUUUUUAAUAAUUAUAUUACUUUUAAAAAAUUAAUAGCUAUAUUAAACAGGAAAUUAUUGAUGCUUCAUUAGUCAAAAGAUAAUUCCAUUAUGAUUAAACGCCAUCCUUUUUUAUAAGGACAGCUUGGUUUGUAACUUAGUUUUUUAUUUGUUGAAUCCAUCCUCCAAUUGUAAACUUGUUAAGUCAAAACUCAAGUUAACUAGCGCACGCUAGUUACUUACUUUGAAUGAUUUGAUACCAAAAUUGGGUUUUCCAAUAGCCAACGAAAUUGUUUGAUUAUAAUAUUUUGGUUGUAUCCCAGCAAAAAAAAAAAGAAAAAAAAAGGGUGGAUGAUUAAUUUACUUGAAAUACCAAGUCAACGAUAAAUUAUUUAAUUCGUAAAACUUAAAAAAAAAAAAAUGAUGAAUCUGGUAGGGAGUAGGGACUUGCUUUUUCUUCUUGGUUAUGGAAUCAAAUUCACUUUAUGCCCCCUAGCUUUUGGUAAUUCAGUCAAUAUUGGUCCCAAAAAAGGAUUACGUCCAAAACGGGAAAGAAAACAAAAUUUUACAUCUCACUUAUUUUUUAUGAUUAUUAUCUUAUUUUUACGUCAUGUCACUUGUCAAACCAAUACGCAUCCUCCCAGUCUACUAAAACAUCAAAGUUGCAACACCAGUUUAAAAAAUAAAAAUUGAUUUUUUUAAAGUGUUCAAUGUUAUUUGUUUGAUUUUUAAAACAUAAGAUCUCUUUCAAAAUUUAAGAUUAAGAUUCAGCAUUUACCUACAUUUUUACUGAACAAUGAAUCAAUAAUCACAAUGAUAUUAUUAUUUUUUUUAUUGUUUAACGACCAUUAAUUUAAUCAGAGUAAAAAAUCUUUAAGUUUAGAAAAAAAAUAAAAAUUAAAUAAUAUUUUAAAAUCAUAUAGUCGUCUAUCAAUUUAACAAAUAAUUUUCAUCUCUUGGGUUUGUAAUUUGACGAGAUGGGAUCUGAUUUAAUAUAUUAUAAAAAAAACAACAAAUUUGAAAAAAAGAAAACAAAAGAAAAGGUGACAAGGAUUGAUCACAAAUGGAAAAGAAACACACUACACAUGAGAAAAUUGCCGCCAGAACGUACGUUAUGGGGGUGAAGUUGAGAUUCACAAGAACUCACAGCCUGAUCGCUCGUGUCGACAAAUGAGAGGUUGCGGGGGGACAAUCUAAAGGAUUAUGAUUCUCUCAUAAUCUGAUCAUAUCAUGAGUAAAUAAUUUAAUUGUUGAUUGAUAGUUAAUAAAAAAAAAAAUAAAAAAAAAAUAAAUUUUACUCAUACACUAUCACUACAAGACAUAUUGCAGAAGAUUUCAAAAAAUACAGAAGAGAUCAAAUUAGAAGAUGAUAUUUUUCCAAUCGGAAAGUAAUUAUAUAUAUAUAUAUAUAUAUAUAAGUGCCACGCUAGUUAAUGCAUCUUAAUCAUGAUUAUCUGGUUGAUGGAUUUGAACUAAACAUGUUUGCCAUGGCCAUGGUUUCAUUUACGAGUCCAAUUAAUUAUUGACAUGAUCAACAUAGGAAACACACCGAAACAUAAUCACAUCAGACGUGGACCCCCCCACAAUUUGUUAAUUAAUAAAUUAAUUAAGAACAAUCUAUACUAUACAUAUGCAAUUAACAUUUUACCAGAGAAAUUGCUCUGCCCUUAAUUAUCUUGAUUAGCUCUGGGUUAAAUGUCAAGUUGGGUUUGCGUAAUUAACGGAAUGAUUAUGUUAAUUUCAAAGAUACGGUUUGAAAGGGGGGGGGAUAAUAUUUGAUUAUUCUAUGCUCAAUUUAAGAUUAAAUUGGAGAGUUCAACGUGAUUCACUUGGAAAAUUUGUGCCGUUAUUACGGACGUUGAAGCAUUUAUUGCACUCUUUAUUUUGCCCCAAGACUUGCAAGUUUAUACGAGGGCAUUUACUAGUAUAAGUAGAGACAUACUGAGAUAAGAUUUUAAUAUGAACAUGUAUAUAAUAAAAAGUCAAUUAUCAUUUACUCGCGUAUUUAUUAAUGCAUGAUUUGUUGUCAAGUACAUGUGACAAAAAUUCAACCAAAGAUCAGGAGGGUUUAGAGUGGGAGCAUCCAAUAAUUAAUUUUGGGAAAAAAAACAAAGGCAAAAAUGUGUGAAGAGUUGGCUUGUUAAGAGGAACUUCAUUUGUAAUUUGAAUCACUCCCAUAUAAUUAAAAGCAGAAAGGACAAGCUAAAUAAUCAUUAUUAUGUAUAAUAGAUGGGGUUAAUGGAUGCCUAGAUCCUCCAAGAUUUAAGUUAUUGCAAUUAAGUUGAUUACUUUAAAUAGUUAAUCUUUUUAGUAUGAGAACUUAUUUCAAUUCUUGCGUAUAUAAGCAUAAAUAAAAGUUAAACAUAUAAUAAAAUAUAAAGUUAUCCUAAAUUUUGAAUUAAAUUUUAAAUUAGUGGAAUUGAGAUGGAUUCAUUGCUGGGGUAACAUAAUUUUUCCACUCUUUUAAUUAAUACAAGAAAGAAAAAGAUUCCAUGAGCUAUGGAGACCAUGAGACUUGGACUUGAGAAAAACUUUCUCGAGUCUUCACUGAAGCUAGCUGGCUUAGCUAUCAGAUAAGACGAGCUAAAAAUACAUUUUCCAAUGAGAAAUUAAAUGUCAGAGAAAGACAAGCCAAGUCGCCAACUGUGUAGUAUUUGUAGUACAAGAUGUUCCCCAUGUGCGGUGAGCUCUGAGUUUUAUCUUCUUCCCAUCUAUCCAUCAACUUUGAAUUUGGAAUUAAAAACUUCAAUUCUUAUGUAUAUAUAAUUUUUUUUUUAAUAAACAGGACAUCUUUAUUUUAAUAAAAUUUAUUAAUAAAUAAAAAAUAAAUUCUUAAAAUAUUAAAAUUUUUUUUUUUUAUAUUUUAGUAGGAUUCUUAUUUUAAUAAAAUAAAAAUACAUGUAUACAAACAUAUACACUUUUUCUCUGUAUAUGACAAUUCACUAGUUUUAAUUGUCUUUUUCUUUUUUCAUGUAUAGAAUAUAUCUAGCUAAUUAAAAAUAAAGAAAUCAUGUAAGAGUCAUAUAUGUAUAUAUACUACGCCAACCUUAAUAGACAGAAACUUUUGAUUACUGUGGGGCAUCUAAAAACCCUAAAAAUAAAGGGAAUAUAAAAGGGGACAAUCAACUAACAUACAAGUGGUGGGACAAAAAAUAAUGGCAAAAAAAGGAGAAACCUCCAAUGAAUUUGCAAAGAAAAACCCUAACCCAGAUUGCUUUAUUCUCAACCACCACCUCACCAACCUUAAUCAACAGACGACUCGACUCUUGGAGAAAAAUUACAAAGCAUAACCAUGUGACUCUUAUCUACUAAUCAGAACCUAUAUUAUAAAGAUUGUGGUCCUCUUCUUCUCUAAUUUUUUUUUUUUUUUGAAAAAAAACUAGGACAUGUCUAUUUAUAUAUAUUGUCAUUGUUAGCGUCAACUAAUGACAGCAAUUUAAAAGAAGAGACAGAAGAACCACCCGAAGCUAAAGACAAAGAGGAUGGCCGCCUGAUCAACUGAUCAUUCCACCAACCUGGCCAAUUCAUGCCCCUUCAUAUAAAUAAAUAACAAUGAAACCCAUUUAUUGAAUUUGCAGCAUCGCUGUAGGGACCAAGAGCUAGCUAGCUCACUAAGCACAUGGCAACAUGCAUCCUUUUUCUAUUAUAGAUUCGUUCAACUGGCUAAAUGAAAGAGAAGAAGAAGAUGGCUCCCGGAACCCUAGUUGAUCCCAACAUGUAAUGAGGUAAUUAAGAUUCAGAAGCUAGAAUCUUUUAUUUAUAACACUUGAAGAACCAUUCAAUCUGUCUUUAAUAUAUAAUACAUAAUCGUGACAAAAUUAACAAAGCAUGCGCCACGAGGUUUCUAGCUUGUAUUAUUAAGGUUGGCAUGGGUAAUUCUUAUUAUUACCUUUCGUAACUUAUUAUUAUAGAAGGUCAUGUGUUUAACUUGUUGGAAUUAUACGGCUAUUUCAAAAUAUUAAUAUCCCACGUUAGAGGAAGGGAGAAUACUUAUUUUCAUGUUUGAAUUGAAAUUGCUUAUGCGUUUGAUUUAAUUAUAAAUUAGAGUAGAAUAAGUUAAAUUCACAUGUAAUUUAAUUAUUUAAUUUGAAUUAAAUUAUGAGAUAAAUGGAUUAUUGAUUCAAAUUAAAUAAGGAAAUUAGUGAUUAACUCAAAUUGAAUUAGGAAAGGGUCUAUAGAAGGUUUCUCAAUAAAAGAGAUUAUACAAAACCUUUAAUGAUACCUACUACAACAAUAAAAAGAGAAGAAAAUAAUUCAAUUGUUCUAAUUAUACCUCUCUAAUUGUUUCUCAUUUUUUUAUCAAUUUACUUUUGUUAUUCAAAAUUGUUGCUCUUGGGAGUGUAACCUCACAAUAGUCAUUAUGUUCUGGAGGUCAAACUGUCUUAUUUGUCCUUUGUGCACAGAAAAAUCUUAUUUUGAGAUGUAGAAUUUUGCCUUAAGGAUAGAGCUUUGCACGUCUUGACAAAUUUAUAUUAGUUGAUUGAGUAACAACUUCAGGUUUAUGGAAUGCAACUUUCUAGUUUAUGGUUGCGAGUUACGUGUUCUUGGGUACAACUAUGCAUUAAUUAACAAGGAUGUUAUUCUCAAGCCAUUGUUCAUUGCAAUUGGGUUUUCUUAUUGCUGUCGUUAUUCUAACUAAUUAAUUUUAAAGUUCAAAGAAGCAAUAUUGGUUCGUAUUUCCAACAUAACUCAUACUAAAAAAUUGCUUAUGCGUUGGUGGUUGCUUCAAACUUAUAUUCUUAGCGUAAAAACUAAUAUUAUCAACUAAUGGGGAAUAUUACAACUUGUGCAUGAGUUUAGUUGUGAUAUCAUAUAGAAGCUCAUGGUUCUAACUCAUACUCAAGAAACUAGCUCAUAAAUUGAGGGUUGCAUCAAAUAUAUAUUCUUAGUAAAAAAAAGUUAUUCUCAACACUUUUCGAGAAAUUUUUUAACUUGAGUUUAAACAAGGUUAAACUUGACACUUAAUUUAUAAAAAUAUUGUUAGUGGUCCCAUAUUGAUGCCACGUAUGUGUUAGUUAUGUAAAAUAUAAGUUGAACGGAAGAGGGAGGAAAUUAUAUUAAUGGGUCAGUGUCAAUAGCUGUAAGGGAUAUAAUAAUAUCAAUCGAAUAAGGACCAAAAGCUACCAUUAAAUACUCCUAUCUAUCAUCUCUCUUUCUCUAUGAGACACAAUUUUACUAAAGAAAGAGCAUAAGAAAAUUAGAGAGCUGCAUCUAUGUAUAAAUUUGAAGGAGAGAAGGAGAGAGCAGCAUAAAGCUAUAAAGUAGCUAGUCAUCACGAGUAUAUUCAUUUUCCAUGCCUAAAACAUGCAUGGCUCGUGCUUUCAUUUUCUUUUUUGUUAACCUUUUUUGAAUAUUGAAGCUUCUGCUCGUUUCCUUAAAGAACCCUCUCGUCUCUUCCCAUUUGAACAUAUUCAUUUUACUUUCCCGUUUCUUCUUCUUCCUGUUGGUGUUUGAUAUGUUGGUUUGAGAGAUUGAAGCUGCCAGCAUGAUCUGGUAAUCAACCUUUUUGUAUAUAUAUAUAUAUAUUAAUUCCUUAUAGUUUUUAGAUUUAAUUUCUUUUAAUUAGAUCCAUGGUUUCAAUUCUAUUGAAUAAAUGGUGGGGUUUUAUAUUUUCGUGCAAUUAUUAAGAGGAUAGAUGGAAUAGCGCCUUUAAAUCCAAUCACUUUUUUAGUUUUAUUUUGAUCUUUUUUGCCCCCUAAAAUUAAGGGUAAAGGUUAAUAUGUGAGAGAGUUUUAGGGUGUGAUUUAUUAGCUUCGUAGAUGAAUGGUUCCAUCAGGUCAUCUUGCAGCUUCAAUUACUCAUUCACCAACAUUUAUGGAAGGGUACUCUUGAAUCUUAAUAGCUUUCAAAAGUUCAUCAUCUCACAACUUCACAGCUUCAUUUCAGGUAAUUAAUUUCUUCAAUUCAUCAUUUUCUAUUACAUUAUUACUUAUUUAACGAUUUUAAUUGCAUCCUAAUAUUGAUGUCAAGCAAUUGAAGACAAUGUCCUUCUACCUCUGCCUGUAUGUAUGUGAUAACAUACUUGUCUUGAGUCUUGACUUUAUAUAUUGUUGCAUGCGUAUAGAAUGUACACAAAAAAAAAAAAAAAAAAAAAAAAAAUUAUUGAGACACAAGAAAGANNNNNNNNNAAAAAAAAAAAAAAAAAAAAAAACAAAUUAUUGAGACACAAGAAAGACAGACUGGUUAGACAAAUCUGAUUUAUAUAAUAUUGUAAGAUAGAUGUUCCCAACAGACACAAUUGCUUAUCUGUUAAUUACAAUGUCAAUAUGUGAUCUCUCAUCGUCUAAUACUAUCCUCACCAAUUCAAAUCCCAUCGCAUCAGGAUUGCAGAGUGUUUUGGUUUAUUUAAUACGUAAAUCUAAAGAAAAUACAAGAGGUAAAAUUGCCUGUAUUUAAUUAGUUUUAUUUGUUUAUUAAGGUUUAGUUUAGUCACAAUCGACCAUUUUGCACUACCACACACACUUGAAUACAAUAACAUUGUCAUUAAUGAUUUGUCAAGUUGAUUUAGGCCAAUUUAGUACUGUUUUUGUGCCUUCGAAGCUUUAAUUGCGUUCAAAAAGUAAUUAAACGGCGGCUGUAGAAAAAAUGGUUAAGUAUUUGAUAAUUUGUGUUUAUUAGACUGAGUGGAUUUGUGCUUAAUAAUGAAGUCAUGUCUAAAUAUUUUUCUGAUAAAUGAUGACUGAGAAUUUGUCACUGAUUAAUAUGAUUUUGGAACUAGUGGUGUAUAUUAUAUAUAAAUACCAUGUGAAUUGAGUUGAUUCUGACCUUUCUUUCUAUAUAUACAUGAUUUAAUUUUAUAUCAGGUGGUGGCCAACGGCCGGCCGUACGAUUUAUGAAUAUUUCUAGAGACUCCUUUCAAAACAACUUAUUGACUUAUGAAUAAAUGUUUAUGACAUAGAAUUAACUUUUUCAAAUUUUUGGUGAACAUUCCUGCAUUCAUUUGAUUGAUAUUUCCCAUUUUUCAGUUCUGUUGUAUGAUAUAGAGGUAUAGCUUCGUAUAGAGUAUAUAAUUAGCGGCUUUGGUUUUCUUAAUCAACUGUUACCACCAAAUCGACCUCAAAACGGUAAAAAGUCCUCCGAGAGUAAGUUCAAAUUAUAAAGAGGAUCAUAAUUCUCUAACUUGACAGCAUUAAUAUUUGUGUUGACGAAUUAUCACUCUUGAUGUGACAAACAGAGAAACUGUUUCUAUCUCUUUUUCAUUCUUAGGCUCGGUUUAGUGUUGCAAUGCUAGGACUUGAAAACCAUAUGUGUUGUGGAACGAAAGUCGUUCUAAUUGCCAAGUAAAAGUUGACACAUAUUUAGUAAACACUACUUGGUAUCAAGUGAAUAUCAUAUGCAGAACCCAUUUUUCAUGUGGGAGAUAAGUUGUGUUGCGAAAUCCAGAUUUUCUAAGCUGCGGUGUAUCAAGGUAGCUUGAAGAUUCAGAUGUUUAUUAGAGCAAAGCAUUAGCAAUCGGUGUUAGAAGAGCUACUAUUUUGGUGUUUUUUGUUUUUCAGUUCUAGCUACAUGAGUCUCUUGUGCAAAAAAGUUUAAAACCAAAUGAGAAUUGUUUUAAAGAAAUUCAUUAUCUCUCUACAUGCAUGGUGAUUGUUACUGGUUAUAUAUCUAGAGACUCACUCCUUGAAGAGAGCCUAGUUUCUUCUGUAUAUUUUUGCUCUUUUACUUCUCCAAUCUCCUUUCACUUUUCCUUAUUUGUUAUGGGUUUAAACAUUCUAGCUUUCUUGACUCUAGGUUACACUAAUUGCCUGUUUAGUUCCAGUUCUCCUUGUGUCUCUUGCUUGUGUGUGAUUGUUUAUCAAAUCAUAAUUAAUAGUUAUUGAUUGGAAAUAUUUUUCGAACAAUUAAUCUUCCAUGACCCUUAGCAUAUAAAAAUCAAAGGUCAUGGUGGUUGUACCAAAUAAAGAAACUUAUUCAUAUGAAAUUAAUAAUAACCCAAAAGGGUCCAUGUUAGACCCUAACCAAAUGACAAUAUGGUGGUUGAUCUCAGAAUCUAGUCCUUUGUUAAGAGUAAGUUAACGACCGUGCGGACAUAAUCUUUCACUUUGUCAGUCAUCCAACCCAUAUAUCAAAAUACGAAUUAGGAGACUAUUUAAAACUACCUCUCUCUCUGUAUAUAUUAUGGUGGAUAAACCGCAACGGUUGGUCGCCUUCAAACUAAGACUCGGUAUUUGUCCUAAAAAGCUAAUUUAGUUUACUGUUACCUUGAUAAGAAAUUAAAGGGUCCAGAUAAAACUUAGAGCUUGAGUAUUCAAUUAAAAAAAAAAAAAAAAAUUAGCCAAUCUACUAUUUUCUUGUCACAAAAAUGAUCUUUGUAUUUAAAUCAUAGUAUUCAAUCCAAAAAGCUAACUUAGUAGGUAAGUAAAAUUUUUACCCUCUAACGAAAUAUUUGUGGUUAGUAGUCAUGUCGGUUGGUGGCGAUACCAGUCUUUUUUUUUAAAUAAUUAUUUCAAUCAUUUUGUUUAAAACGUGAGUCCAUCACAUUCUGACUAUUAAGGUCUGGUUCUAUUAUUACAAUACCACAUACUAACGCCUGAGAUAUGAAUAUAUAUUAAAUAACUAAAAGGUAAAUGUAUUAAUAAUGGAGCGUCUUGUUUAUUGAUUGAUUUUAUUUUAUUUUUCAUAACUAUAGAUGACCAACUUUUUGACUCGGUCCGUAAGACUUUUAAACUAAGAGAAAGUUACAUCAAUAGCUAGCUAGUCUCAUUGCAUGAGCUUGUCAAGGGACAAAUGAGGAUAAAUGUUUACUAUUGAACCACCUCACGGAGACUAACAAUUAUCUUUCCAUCAUCAUUCUCUAUUUGGUAAUGAGUCUUAAUUGAAUAUUUUCUUACUUUUGCAUUCCGUUGUUAUUGUUCUGAUAAUAAGAUGGGUAUUAAUUUACCGGGUCAAUUAAAAAUGAUACAACUUAUGUUCCCAAGUAUUGUUUGAAAUAUGUCACAAUAUGAUGCGCAUGUAAUAUAUAUAACACACGAUUUAUUAAAAAUUAUGUGAUUACAAGUCAAUUUGAGGGUUCGAUUAAUUGCGAGGUGUUGUGGCUUUUAAAUUAUAAUGGUAAAAAAGAUAUGGCUAUCAAAGUAAAGCUUAUGAAUGUAAGGUAAAUAAUAUAUUUUAUUAUUAUUAAUAAUUAUAAAAAAUGUAUGAAAUUAAACAUUAAAAAAAGGAGAGAAAAAAAAGAAAAGGACCUAACAGAUAAAAUGCAGCGGCCCAGCAGCUGGGAAUGAGGGCCUAAAGAGUGCUGAACCAGCUAGCUUGAUGUGUCUCAAAUUUUAAAGCAGUAAGUACUUAAAAGCAUUUGUUAUUCCUGAAUCACGUCGUACUCACAAAUUAACUUGGCAGCAAGCGUCAUUAUUGCUUAUAGGUGACUAAUUAUCAUCACUGAAAUGGCAUCUUAAUUAUCUGUCUCAGAAGAAUUCAUAAUUAGCUACAACUUUAAGGUGCUCUUUGACAGGUAGAAAUGCGGUUGAAAUAGGAUUGGUUUUGGUUAAAAGUUAGUUCCCCAACGAGACAACAGAAAGAAUCAGUUUUUUAUUAUCAUCAAACUGAAAUACAUUGUUUUGUAUAUAAAUGGAAAGCAAUUUGGAUCAUCAACACAUGAAAAAGAGACUUCCAUACCGCUCUUCAUUAGCCAUUGUGCCCCACCAAAACUAAUAUUUAAGCUUUUCUCAGUUCCGAUACGGUUCAUACUCCCACUUUCAGGGGUACUUUUAUGUUUAUGGUACAAUAAUUUCAACAUAUGGUGAUACAAAUCAAAAUAAAUAUGCAAAGUAUUUAAUAUGGAUAGUGCUCUGAUGCCUAGACAUUUUUUUCUACUAAAUAUUGUAUGACCCCCAUUUGUAACCUAAAUACGCAAGAAAAAUAAAAGGAACAGUGACUCACCCGGUUGAAGGCAUUACCCAGAAGCUUCUGUUUGCAACCAACACUUGGAGAUACUUACAGUUGAGGAUUUGAAGGCCCUAACAAUCUAAAGCCCUGGUGGUGACCUGACAUUUUCCUGAGCAUAUGAAUGUGAUUCCUCUGUUUAUUUUGACUCUUGAACAUUGAGUGAAGUGUCUGAGUGCUUUCUUCUCUUUGGCUCGGGCUCACCUAACUGUAAUGAAACAUAAUUAUCUUCAUCAGGCCCGUUCCUCAAUGCUGAGAGGCUCUUUGAUCCCUUGUUUUCCUGUGCGUUGUUUUGAUGCAUUGGAGAUCUACCAGUGAAACUUGGAAUGAAUUGAUGUCCCACAUUCGAAGAUGAUUCAAUCCCAUCUUCUACAUGAAACUCCGUAUGGAUGAACGGGGGAGUGGGUCCUUGUUCGGAUUCACCAUCGACCAAAUCUUGUUGGAUGUUCAAAUUAAAAGGCUCCAAUCUUUCUGCAGUUUUUUCUUUCGAUUGCUCCCGCUCUGCAGGAGGUGACUCGCCAACUGUAGACUCAAUUGCUGCCGCCGAAGCAUUUCUUUGAUCUUGCACUGCAGCUACAUCAUGAAGAAGAAAACAUAAACAGUUACCAACGAAGUGAAAAACCAAAACUGUCAGGACUAUAAAAGGAAAAAUCAGUCCAGCUAACUCUCCAAACUUCCUUUGCCUCAUCGCAAACUUUGCCUCAUCGCAAACUUUCUCAAAACUUGACAAUCUACUUGAAGAUAUUACAAUUAAAAAUCUCAAAUGGCAAGCUACACAUAAGACUCAAAUUAACAUAUCCUAAACAACCAUUUGCACGCAGCAUUUUAUUAGUUGACAACUGGGUACCAUCCAUUUUUCUUGCACUAGCAGACAAAGAGCCCAUUAAAAUCCAAGCAUACUAGUUAAAGCCAAGAUAACUAUUAUUUCAACAUUGUGCGGUUUCUUUAGUUACCAAUAUCCACAGUAUGCACAUGAUGCAACUGACUUAUGCAUUUACUUAAUAUCUUCACAUUUAUUCAUGUUACUAAAAUGUAUCAGAUAAAAACAGAUUUUAUAGGAUUGACCAAAACACAAUUUAAUCUGGAAAAGAUCACUAAUUGGUUCGGUAAAACAAACCUUGAAACCCUUCAUUGGUCGCGAUGAGAUCAAGUUCAAGGAGGUCAAGAAGGCGCCCCAGAUCAACUCCACUAGUCCAGUUUACUGGGGGCUGACCAACUUUUAGUUUCAACCGUCCCCUAUUAGCUGUCCCACCCCAAAUGAUCCCUACAGGCCGUGGCUUCUCCCCAUUUUGACCUGUUAAGAGAAUGAGGCUUCCACUAUCACCUUCAAGAUCGAAAGUCUGCUGGUUCUCACCCACAACGAGAAAAUCAGUAAAGAAACAGAUCCCUUUCUCGUCAUUGUAUUCAAGAGCAUAGGCCAUUACGGUCCCAGUAGUCAGGCCAGAGCUUCUUCCUACUUUCAUCACUUGCCUGCCAAUGAGACUGUUAAUUGGAGACUGCAAGUCUAUGAUAUGGACAUCACCUAUUUCACCCACGCCUUUCACAGAUGUAGUUACGUUGUUCAAAUUAAAAUCCUCUGCAAAAGGAAUGAAAGCCCCAUCUGCUCGUACAAAUGUUUCUGCAGGGGCACCAAACCGUAAUGGGCAUGUGUGGGGGUCAGGACAUAAUUUGAAACCCAUUAGCACAAAGGUGAAGUAAUAGAUAAUCAUGCUUAAACAUAAUACUCAGAUAUACAAGAUAAAGACCACUAUUAAACAACAACUACAUCGCAGGACAAUAAAUCACGUAACCUAGAAUGAGCUUAACAGUUUAAGCUAAGAAUGAAGCUCAAUGCUCACAAAGAAAGAGGAGACUCAUGGACUAGCGGGGAAAAAGAGGUGCCACCCUUCAAUAUUGCCAAUUUAGAAAGUUAAAAGCUAGUUUGCUAGUUUAACCUAGUUCCUCGGGAUAUUUUUUGGCCCCAAUAUUUUGAAAGCCUCUAUAAGCAUUCUGCCUAAUUAAGGGAAUUAAUGAAGUCUAAAACUCAUCUAAUGGUUGCCAACUUGGUUCAAUUCUAACUCCCAGAUACAUAAUUUGAGAACAAGUAAAUACAUUAGUGAUGAUUUUUCUAUAGUAUAUGCAGGAACAAAUUAUUGAUUGCUACAAUCUAGAACUGCUUUACCUGGAUUCGUUCCGGCAAAGAUGCCAUACCAAAGAUCAUCUGUGAUAAAUGAUGUGGCCCUCUCAACAGCACCUAGAUACACACCAGGUCCAAGGCUGGGCGGCAAAGGAUGAAACAUUUUCUGAUUUGGGUAGUCCAAAUCGACUGCAACAUGUCGGUUUGUGAGAAAACCAACUUGUUGAUUUCCUGUUCGGCUUCUAACAAUAGCUCCCAAGGUCCCAUACGUUUCUUGGCUAGCAACCUAAAUACAGAAGAAGCAAUGUAAUUCCAAGAGCAUUGUAAAUUAAAAAUUUGAAGUCGGCAGGAAGAGGGGUUGGUGUAUUUAUGGUUCCAAUUACCAAUUAACUUAAUUCUUGAACAAUACAGCCUGAAUUUCAUAAUCCACAGAAUUGAUCCAUGUUUUAAUAACUACUUAUAUUCAAAACAAAGAUAAUUUUUUUUUUUACACAUGUUUCAGAUUUUUCCCCACCAUUUAGGGCACACAUAUAACAUGAAUGGUGCUAUAAAUAAGGAAGAUACCUGUGAACCAGAGCCAAUACAUGGAUCACUUCCCCUCAAGCCAUCUACAAGCUCAGUAUAUAGUUCUUCCUUUGGAGUUGGUGCAGGUGCACCAUAGUACGAGAAUUCCACAACAUCUACAUCACACCAAACACCUCCUGGCCCCUGCUCCAUGUAUUAGAAAGGCUUUUUAACUUCCCAAUUAAAAGAUGAGCUCAGUCACACACGGAAUAAUAUCGAAGAAAAAAAUUUAAAAUUUCAGAAAUUUCAAAAUGUUCAGCAAUGCAUAAGUUUAGGAUAUUCCAACCCUUCCCCAACCACCGAAAAUUCAUAUAAUCAUAUACAGUUGAUUUCUGCUUAAUAUUCGAAUAUUUUUCUAGUUGAUAGCAUUAAUAAUAAACUAUCCUCCGUGCCCUGCCGCCCUCCCCACUGAAGAGAAAGUAGAAAAACAUAAGGAAGAGCCAUAUUUGUCACCUCGAGGGCAGCAGGUAGACACUGAACAUGGCUAAGCCAUUGCCUGUGUACUUUCCGAGCAACAAAGACAAGAAUAGCUGGUAUAUCUGUCAAAACACCCCGUCGAAUACGGAAUCCUAUUGCUGUGCCGAGACUAAAACGACGCAAGAUUUUACUAUGAAAUGCUCUAAUUGUCAUCAGUUCUAGCAAUGUAGUAGCUUGUUGGCCUGUUGGCAGCCGUCCCAGAGUUUCCGGAAGCACACCUUUCUGAAGGUUUCCAAAAUAGUUUGCCCUAUCCUCCGCUGCAUCAUUUAAUCGACUUAAUGUAGGCCAUGAGAAGUAGGCUGCAUUGCUCUCAGAAUGCUGACCACCAGAAGCAAAAGGCUGAAGUGGUGAUGGACUUGAUGAAGGAAGAUUAGGAUGAUGGCAGUAGUUUCUUUCCAAAUCUAAAGCAGAUUCCUCGGACUGUGAAGAUCCCGAGUUCUGAAAUCUUAAAUCCCAUCUAUUCUUCUCCAUCUUUCAGCCCUCCUACAUGGCAUUAAUUCAAUAGCUCUUAUGAUCCCAACUUGACACUAAACUAAUAACUCUGGCAAAGACCAGACAUAUCAUGUUAUUAUCUUCGAUCAUCAGGGAUGAGGGACCAAAAUAAUAUUGGAAAAAAAAAAUUAGAGUAGCCAUAAAGUAAAUUUAGAAUGAACCUCCAUAACAGUACACCGUAGAACAUUGGUUACAGAACAUAAAAAGGAUGAAUAAACAAGCUAGACAAACAUCAUUGAUGAUCACAAAUCAUUGAUUUAACAAACACACUGUCUAUAAUAAAACAGAGAAUGAAAGUCUCUGAGACCAAUACCAAGUCCGAGCACUCAUAAAGACUAGCAAAAUGGGAAACUAUCUAAAUUGAAAACCAUAGCUAUAGCACAAAAUAGAGACCACAGUUCACUGAUGUAAAGUUUGGUGCCCUCUGAUCUAUUCAGAUGAAAAGGACUACAAAUUCUAAUAAUUUUCUGCACAUUCAAAUUGCCACCCAAAAAAAAAAAAAAAAUUAUGUACGAAAAGAUAUUGGUGUAUCCAUCUCUUUCAAAGCUCCACGAGCGAAAAGAAACAAAUUCAUCACUGGAGAACUGAAGUAGAAAUUUUAAGAUAACAGAAGCAGAAUCAAGAGAUGAAAAAAAUAUAACCUUUUCGACAAAUGGGAGGGCUGAGAAGCUGGAAAGAUUAAAGAAAGGAAAUAGAGCCAGCCCAAAUAAAUAAACACUUCAGUUAAAAAGUAAAAAAAAAGUGUUCUUUAAAUUAUAAUAAAUUAUAAAAAAAAUUGAAAUGGGUUCCUAAAAUAUUAACAGGGUCCAUAACUGCACGAAUGGAACGAAAAAACAGAACAAACACACAUAAAAAAAUGGUAAACUGAGCAAAACCCGGAUAGUAAAUGAUACCAAGUUGACAAAUUAAGCUAAGACCCAGAUGGCAUAUACGAUUAAAAAAGAAAUCUUUAGCAUAUUCUCAGGCGAAACUCACCGAUCAGCAAUGGUGGAGCUGUGAUGGAGUAACUCAAAAAUCAGGACUAUUGUAGUAGACUUUCAUACCCUACCACACAAUCUCCAUGAAGAAAAGAUGAUGAGACAAAUGCAAAAUUGCCACUUUGCAUAGUGAUUAUUAGAGUGUUGAAUUGAGUGAGUAUCUGUGCGUCAGCUAAAAAUAUUUUUAGAAAGAGAAAGCUAUAAGAAAUUUUCUAAUAAUCUGAGGAAAGAGAAAGGGAAAUUGGAAAAUAUUGUUAUAUUUGGAAAGAGAAAGGCACAUAAAUAUCUGAUAAUUACAAGAACUGUAUUGUAUAUAACAAAUAAAUAAAAUAAUAUGGGAUUUUUGUUUUUUUUAAUUAUUCUUUUGCAUAUACUUUUUUGUGGGCAGCCUUUAUCAAUCCUUUUGUUUUUUUUUUCCCUUCUUUUUGGUUAGAUCACUUCACACUUACAUUUUCUGGUGGAAAGCAAGUGCAACAGUGGCAAUGUGAAGAAAUUUUAAUGGAGGAGAAAGAAAUAAUUUUCUUGGAUCCCAUUAAUAUUUUUAAUUUUGGUGGGGAAAUUAGGGACCCAUCCAUAUUUGCUCCCCAAAAGCAGCACACUCUUCACCCGAAUAAUUUUCCACCAUCCAUUUUUGGUUUUGGAGACUAGCCUAACGCUAGAGGCCUUGUUCUCUUUUUGUUUUUACACAUUUAUGUUUAUAUAUAUAUUCCCUUAAUUCAUCUAUUAUACGUGUUAGAUGAAUAUGUUAAAAAUACUGUCAAUGAUUCAUAUUAUCUAAUUUAAGAAGUAAACACACCAUGCAAAUUUAAAACUGAAUUAAAUUGGUAAUAUUCGGCACUUAAAAGUUAAAAAAAAUUUAUUACACAUUUAAAAAAAUCAAAAUACCUCGUUUAAUUGCUUCUCGAGAUUUUAUGCAUUAAAAAUUUGUAAUUACAUAUUUUAAUAAUCAAAACAAUCAAUAAAGUAAAGGAAUCUGCCUACAAUAGAUUUGUUUUACCGCAGAACACUACUAAUAACUGAACAAUCAUAAUAAUUAUUUAUUUUUUAUUAUUUAUUAUUUUAAUUGUGUGGUUAUAAAAUAAUAUUAUAUAACAGAGUAACUCUAUCGUAAUCACUACCUAAAGUUAAUUACGUAGGCCAAUAAUAUAUUUGAGGCUGUAUAUUACACAUGCAAGUACUACAGGAGCUCUUGGCUUUCUUUUAUAAAAUCUUUUAACAUUAUUAUUACAAUUUUUUUUAGGUUUAUUUAAAAUUUUGAGAACCAUGAUUUAAAGGUCGUUUGAACAAUAAUAUAAGUUGAAAGUGGUCAAUUAGUUGUGGGGCACAAAAGGUCUAUAUUGGAGGCAGAAGCCUUUCAGCAAUCAUCAUCACUUUACAUAUCAUUACUACUUUUUACUUCUCUCUUCUUCUUUAAUGGGUUUUAUCUCAAAUAGUGAAAUUUCAAAUUCAAAGCACGCACACUUUGUUUUUUUUUUUUUCUUUUUAAUUUUUAUUUCUCUCUUAUGUGUCAUAUGCUUGACCUGUUAUUAUAUUUCCUGUACUACAAAUCCUAUCCCAAUAAUAGACCUUUACUAAAGAGAGUUGCCUUUCUGGAAGGUAAAAUCAGCCUCUCACUGUCAGCCUAUCUCUCCAAUUGUGACAUAUAUUAUCUCUUACAUUAUCUUCGCAUCAUGUCAUGCCACCCCCACAUUAUCUUUCUUUAUAUGUCAAUUAUCAAAUCAUCAUCAAUGGACUUCUAUCAGAAUAUAAUUUUAGCAUUCACACAUGAAGCUGUUUUAACGUAAUGUAGUCCUCACACUAAAACUGAGUUACAUCAUUGUAAAAUUUACUCUUCACUCUCUCGAGAAUUAAACGAGAUCCACACUUUUUAAAUUUUCCACUUUUCAUGCAUGGAAAAAAAAAAUUGUUACGGUUUCUAUUUUUAACCCAAAAGAAGAAGAAGAAGAAGAAGAAGAAGAAGAGAUUGUAAAUUAAAUCACUCUUCACCCAUAUGAAUGAGUUCAAAACUUCAAAUCUCAAAUUGGGUUUGACCAUCCAAAAAUUCAUAUUAAAUAAGCUAACCGUAAUUGGCACCCUCAAAACUCACUAAUUUUGGUUGGAAGAAUAUGUGAUUGGACAUAUGUAUUCUUUUGUCUCAUGUAUAUAAUUUUAAUAUGAUUUGUCCCAACAGUUGGUGCCUUUUCUCACGCAUGAGAAUUGAAAGAUUGUGUGUUCUUGAGAGUGGAGCAAAAUAAAGAAAGAAAGAAAGAAAGAAAAAAUGAAUUGAAAAAGGCGUAGAAAUUUAAAGUCUUUCGUGGAGAAAAAGGCACAGCAAAGCAAUUAUUGACAGAGUUUAUCGAAGUAUGGGUUCCACCACAACCAAGUGCUUUUAGAUUAGCCCAAAAAAACACAGCCUUGACAAGGAAAAUAAAUUUACAACCGUUAUCUGUGUUGUAUGUUACAACCAUGAACCAUCACAAUGUUUUUUUUUUUUUUUCUUAAAGUUUCAAUUCAUAACACAAAUUUGGAGGUUUACGUAUUGAAAAACAAAAUAAAAGUGGUUAUUUGAACCAACUAAUUUUCUUUUUACAUAUUUUUUAAUUUAAAAUUUUAAGACGAUGUUAUUUAUUUACACUAUAAAAAUUACUUUUAACGCUCAUAUUUUUAUAGAGUUAUUUGUUAUUAAAAUUAGAGAUGGCUAAUGGGUCAAGCGGCAAGUGGUACAACACGAGAACGUUUCAGUGGGACACGUGGCACAACAUGACAUGCAUGCAGGUUGGGCCGAACUUAAAAUUUUAAAUACGUGGGACCUUAAAAGUACAGUAAGAUUAUAGUUAGGUUAAAACACACAUGAGAAAAUACCUAUAAUAAGUAUGUUUCACUUUUUAAUAAAAGUAAAUUUAAAAUUUUAUAAUUUUACAAAUAACUUGAAAUAUUUUAUUAGCGCAAGUUUUCUAAAUUCAUUUAAUUCUUAGUUUUUUUAAAAAAUACUCUAAUUGAUUUAUGUUUAUAAUUUAUUAAAUUAAUAAUUGAUAUCAUGAUUUUAAUAAAUAAAAUUAUAAAUAUCAUGAUUUUAUAGAUAUGUAUUAAUGUUAUAUGAACUAUGAUUUAUGACUCAAUGUUAAUCCGAGUUAACAAUUAAAUGAACCAUUAAGAAAAAUUUAAUAUUAUUGUUGUUGUUGUUAAGUGUUAAAAAAAAUUUUAAUGCCGUAAGGUCUAACUUAAUAAUUAGUAAUAUAUUCUCUUACUAUUAUUAGUUUAUUAUUAUUGAAUAUAGACUUGAGUUUUGAAUUUUUGAUUAUAUUGAAUUUGACUAGAGACACAUAAACUCAAAAAAGUACAUAAGCUUAAAAAAAAUAUGUCAAUAAUUUGUCAUGCCUUCUUAAAAAAAUUAAAAAAAAAGUUUAUUGUUCUAUUUUUCUCAAGCACGACACAUCACGCCAUGUGUGCUGGGCUGGGCCUAAGCAUAAAAAAUUAGGCAUGGCACGAAGUACAUAGUAGGCACGACACGGUAUAGCACAAGUACGAGCAUGCAUGAGCCUUCAUUCUGUUAACAUAAAUAUUCCUACAAUAUUGAUUUUGAUGAUAAUAAACUAAAUUGCACUUUGGAAGUCAAUUGUAAAGAUUUUUAAACCUUGGGGUGUAUAGGGCUUGGUUAAUGGAAUCAUCAAAUCCGAUGAGUUUGGAGGCGUGAACGUAGGUAGGGUUUGCCAAACCACGUAAAAAUCUCGUGUUUGAUUCUCUUUCCCUUCUCUCUUUACAUUUUAAUUGUUGUUAUUUAUUUGUUUGUUAUUUGCUUAAUUUUAUUAGAUAUUUGCAUUGGAUUUUGAUUUAAUUAUUUCAUAAUUUUUUAGAAACUCAAUUCACCACCCUCUUAGGUUGCUUAGCUGGUAUUUCAUCUUUGAUGGUUGGCAUGACCCAUUAGCCAUCUUUAAUCAAAAUAUUCUACUAUCGCAAAAUGGAUUAUUAUUAUUAAGGACCAUAUGUUAUAAACAAAUAUAAAAUUACUACUUUGAACACUCAUUUAACAUGCCCAUCCAACAUUUAAUUUUCUCACUGUCAAAUCCUUAAUACGUAGAUGACUAAUUUUGCCUUGUAAUGCCUUAUAAAUUUGAUAGAUUCCUUUGCUUCUUGUAAUCAGCUAGCUGAUGCAUUAGCCGAUCGUGCUUGGUGUACGUGUCUGUUUGCUGGCUUAGGGUGAAAAAGCUUCAUGCCAUAUAAUUGACUUUUUUUUUUUUAAAGUAUUAGGAUUCUAAGGCAAUUCAGUUUCUAUUUUAAAAAAAAGUUGAAAAUUAAAAUUGAUAUUCAAUGAAAAACAGGGGCUGACCCAAUCAUUUAUAUUAUCUCGGGCUAAAAUAUUAUUUUUUAAUUAUGAAAUAUGACAUGACAACUUAUAAUAACACGUAAUUAUAUAAGAAUUAAUUAAUCAAUUAAGAAUUUUAAGCUAAAUUAAAUCAAUGCAUGGAAUCACAAUCAAUUAAAAUUCACAAGUAAAACUUUAAUAUUUGAAGUCAAGUAGCUAGCUACUAGGCUUAAAGAAAUUAAUCAACUAAAAUUUAUUCAUCUUUUAAAAUUAUAAACAUAUUAUUCCUUAAAAGUUUCAAUAAUAAACUAAGCUCAUCCAGUAAAAACAUAUUUGAAUGUUGUUGUUUCUUUAGUAUGCGCUUUGACUCUCUUUGAAGAAUCAUAUAGUAAUUCUUCUAGUAAAACCUCCUCAAAAUACUCAAAUAUUAUUUUCUAACUUGCUAUCUUAAUUAUUGUAACUACUAAAUGAAAUCUCAAAAUUCACAUAAAAAGUUUAUGAAAAUGUUGAUAAUUGCUAUUACAUGUUGUUUUUGUAAGUACUUUUAAUACUAGUGAUAAUUUUAUUUAAAUUGGCAUUUUUUUUCAAUUAUAAUUUUUUUAAAUAAACUAAAGCAGUAAUAACAUUUUAGCCCCCCACUAUUUUAAGUCUAUUCAAUAAAUAUAUAAUUUAAUCAUUUUAUAACAUAAGUCACUAAUUUCAAUUGGCAAAAAUAUAAUUAAUUAAGGAAAUAUUUGAAAAUAAAAGAAAAACUCUAUUAUUAUAUAAAAUUAAUGAAAAUACAGUGGGUGUAAAUGGUUUUUUUCUGAUUAGGAUUGGGUAGCCCAAUUGUAGGUCCGCCACUAAGAAAAAACAAAAGAAAAAGAAGUAAUACAUUAAAAUUUAACUAAUAAUAAAACUUAUUGAAAAGAAGAAUAAUGAACAUGGAAAAUAAGAUGAUUUAUUUUCUUUUAUAGUAUUCUGACACCUGAUUUUCAAAAGAAUAAAAUUUUAUACAAGAAAUGAGUGUUUCGAGUUAUUUUUCCAGUGAAUUAUAAAUUUUAUGCGUGUAGAGUAAUUAAAUAUAAUUACUUAAAAAUUUAGUUGAGGAUUCCUUUUAGUAUUUUAAAGAGUGUACAAAGUAAUAUCCAUUUUUUUUUAAUUUAGUAUUAGUAGAUGAGUGUACAAAUUAAUAGAGUGUUCAAAGUAUUUUCUAGAGCGUAAAUAAUCUCACCUAAAAAUUUAUUAUCAAAAUAAAUUUUUAUAAAAUUACUUAGUAUCCAUUUCCUUUUUUUUAUUCUUAAUUUUCCAAUUCUCAUCAAGUCUUUAAGAUAUUUUCUUUUUAAUGCAAAUAAUUAGUUCUAUUAUAGAGUUUCACAAAUUAAGAGGGACAAAACUCAUUAUUAAAAAAAAAUAAUUUUUUAUCAGUGACGAAAAAUUAAAAAAAAAAUCAAGAAAUUAGAGAAAGAGAUUGGUGAAAAGGACUUUAGAUAUUUUUCAAAAUUUAAAUUUUUAAUAGAUUUAUUUUUCUAAAUAAAUACAGCGAAUAAUUUGAUUAUUUCAAAUGACUCCCAACUAUAAAAUAAUUCUCUCGUAGACAUAGCUUUUAAGCAACCGACCAAAUACAAAAGAAACACUUUCCAUUUGCCACCUAAUUCAACCGUACUAUUUAUUUAAAAACAAAUGACACCCUGUAAUUGCUUGAAGCUACUUUUGUUUUAGCAUCAAAUAUUAGCCAUUAAUUCUUCAAUCAACGAUCCCAAAGAUUUAUAUGAUGAUCCAUCCUCCAUCAUAGCCGUCCUACUCUUUUCUUUCAUCUGUUUUACCUUUCUCCGCACCUGAUCAUCACCGUCCAUCAAUUGUUGCAACCCCUUCUCUAACUCCUCCGCCAACACCAAAUCACUCCCCUCCCUAUAAUCCAAUCUAAUCUCCACCGCUAAUCCAAAUUCCUUCACCAAUUGAAACGCAUUCAUUUGUUGCUCCGCAUACACAGGCCACGUCGCCAUUGGAACACCGAACCAUAGACUCUCCAGUAUUGAAUUCCACCCACAAUGCGAUACAAACCCUCCUACGGCCUGGUGGGCCAAGAUCGUAACUUGCGGGACCCAUCCACACACUAAUCCAAUCUUAGCCGUGCGAUGGAAAAAUCCUUCGGGCAGUAUUUCCUCAAGGUUUGUGUAUUCACCCGGGAGAUAAAUUGUGCCCUUGGACGGUUCACGGAUUGACCACAAGAACCGAAAUCCGGUCCGCUCCAAUCCGACCGCAAUCUCUCUCAAUUGAGCCUCACUAAGGCUUCCCAUGCUCCCGAAGCACAAGAACACCACCGAUGAUGGAGGUUGAUCAUCGAGCCAUCUCAUGAUCUUCUCUUGACUGGCCCGGUCUGGGUGCCAUUGAGCCAGUCCGUGGAGGUCCAAAACCGGUCCAAUAGGGUAGACCGGUGGCAUCUCCGUGACACGAAGCGAGUCGAUUGCAUACGGUUCAAGUUCUUGGAACGUAUUUACAAUCAUCCCCUUGGUUUCCAAGUACCUGCGCCCAUGGUAUAAAUACCACAUGUAUCCGUCCUGCUUUCUCUUCAGAGCUGUUGUAGGUAAAACGAGCGGAGGUAAAGGGUUCGCAAAACUCGGUAUCUUUAACUCAGUGAUAGACGAGUCUUUUGGAACAAUCAACUCAGUAUCCGAGUCAACAAACUCAGUGGCGAGUUGGGCGUCCAGAGUUGGAAAGUAAAGCAAGAACCCUAAAAAACUCGCAGGAGAAGCAAAGUAAAGAUAGCUGGGAAUUCCCAGUUCGUUAGCUACAUCAAUCAUGGACGUGCAAAACAUGUCAACAAACAACCCAGCAACCCGAACAGAGACAGCAUUAUCCGAGCCUGACUCGGUUGCCAUGAGGUUAGCGAUUGCAUGCUUUACGUGGGGUUUGUGUUUCUCAAUCAGCGUGCACAAGUAGCCCAGCGAGGAUUGGUACUCAUCUGGCGAGAGAGGGUCCACCGUGGGAAGGUGGAGGAAGUUGACAUCAUCAUUAUCAUGAACGGACAAUGCGGUGCCGCGUGUCUGGAUAUAUGAAUUGACGAUGGGUCGUUCCGGUAUGGUGAUGAUGAGAACGGUGGCGGAGAAUCGACGGUCGCGAUUUGUUAGGAGACGCGCGAAUUCAACGACAGGAACCAGGUUGCCAAUUCCUGGAAUGGAUGUGAACACCAGAUUAAGCUUCCUCAUGGUCAUAGGGUGUCUGUCUGUUUAUCUCUUUCCUUGUUUUAUUCUCCUUCUUACAAUCUCAUAUUGUGAAGUGAAUAAUGACUUCGCAUUUUCAUUGAAUAUAAAUGGAAAUGUGACGCUCGAAUAUCUUAAGAAAAUAAUUUUUUUUUUCUGGAUUCAUGAACGAUUUAAAUUUUUUUUAAAAAAAAAAAAAAAAAAAAAAACAGAAGUGGUGAUUUUAUUUCCUAAGGUGCCGUUGCGGUAAACAUUCGCUUAAAUUCUCAAGAGUCAUAUUGACGUCUCAGAGGAAAGUUGUGCGGUGCGCCGACAAAAUGGACUGUAUGACACAUUAGUAUAAGAUGGUUAAAAGUUGAGGAGAUCUUAGAUUAGGAGUAGAUUUUAAUACGACAUAAUAAAUCGGAGUUCAAAUUUCUCUUCUCUCUUACAACAUCCUCCACUAAUGUUGUUGGGCUCUUGCGAUCGAUAUGAUAAUUUAAGAUUUUGAUAGGGUUUGAUUUCAGUUCCUGUGUUUACCAUGAUGAGGGGAUUCACAAAAUUAAGGAAAGGUAGAGGAAAAACGAUUUUUUUUUUUUUCAAAAAAAGGGUUAUGAAAAUAAUACUUUUACAGAAUGUUGUCAUUAUGAUAAUUUUGCAAGCCAUGAAUGUUAUUGAGAUGUCAUUGUCAAUUUUAUGUUCUGGACCACAAGAGAAAUGCAUUUUUCUUUUUUUCUUUUUUCCAAAAGUCAAGUUCGGCCACGUUAGAUGGUACUGGAUUUUGUCGUAUGCAUGACUUUUCUAAUAUCUUUUGCAUGAGAAACUAUUUUUUUUUUUUUUUGGUAAAGGAAAAAACGAACCGAGCAAAAGCUAAAGCUUAACAAAACAUGAGAAACUCUUUUAUGAAAUUGUUUACAUUUUAUAAAUAUAUAAAAGCAAUUAUUAAGAAUAAAAAUAAAUAUAUAAAACCCUUUCAUUUUAUAAAUAUAUAAAACCCUUUCAUUUUUAUCAUUUUUAUCAUUUUUAUCAUUUAUAUACAUAUACAUAUACAUAUACAUAUAUAUUUUUUAAAUGAAUGCCGCCCCUUGAUUGAAUAGUUUGGCCAGUUUAAUAACAAACGAUCUCUUAAAGCUUUGAAUUUUUGUAGUAGAUGACUUCGCUUACCAACUAUAAAAAUGAUCCACAUUAUAUGUUCAUUAAGAAAUGAGUGAUGAUACAGCCACAAACUCUUAUACAAAUUUAUAUUGUACAAACUGAUGUGACAUUAAUUCAUUAGUUGAAUGAAAAUAUAAAAUAAUAUAAAUAAAUCAUGUGAGCCAAUACAUAUUUAAUUCAGCCAAUAAAUUAAUAUCACAUCAGUUUGUACAAGAGUUUACAACUAUAUCAUUACUCUUAAAAAAUUUGACUCUUCAGUAAAUAGCAAGCAUGCGUGCUACUAUAAUUGAACUUACCAACUUGGUUUGGUAAAAGCCAAGCUAAGGUGUAUAAAUUAAGUCAAUGAUUUGAAGAGACAAAUUUCUUCAACCUUAGCGUGAAACAAUUUAUUCUCUCGCAGAACGAAUUUGAUUGAACUUUUUACGAAAGUGAAAUAUGUUUCAAGAACUUGAUUGAACCUUCGUGUUUAUUUAUAGUGGGAUGGUAAUCGCCACCGAUCUAUCUUAUUGGACCGGGUUCUCGAUCUUGAGUGGACCAGGCCCGUCAAGAGAAAAGUUCACGAUCAUGGUCCAUGUUCUGGCCUCACGAUUUUUUUUUUUUAAUUCACUCUGAUCUGCAGAUUGCUUUUUCUUUAAAUUUUAUUUAAAAAAGAAACAAAAUGUUUAAAUAAAUAAUGAACAACACAUCGAUCAAUAGUCGUAAAUGAAUUCAUCAUUAGCAAUUUGAGCAGGGGAAGGCGAUGCAAGGCGAAGCGACGAAGGGCGGUUGCGAGAGGCUGCACAGGGCUCUGUGCGAGUGCCACAAGCGAGUGGCAUCGGGUCCCGCGAGGGAGUCGGUGUGUCGGCACCUGAACAGGGCGUUGGCGGAGUGUCUGGUGGCGGAUGCGUGUCCCGAAGAAUCGGAGUCGGUGCGCUCUUUUUGUUCAAGUGGUGGGACCGCACUCAAACGAUCGCAGUGCCAACAGGCUCAGCUCGCUCUCUCCGUCUGUCUCUCCUCCCGCUCCUCGUGAUCAAUUACCCUUUUGCCCUCAACAUUUUUUUUCAAAAAAAUUUUCUGUUGUUUAGUAUUCAUUGGUCACCAAAAAUAAAAUCAUUUAGGGCAAUGUAGGAGUUGAGUCACAAGAAGUCUAUUCCUUACCACGUACACCUUGACGUGUAUAAAAUUACCACUAUUUGUAUUUUGUAUCGUAUAUCGUUAAUUAUUAUUUCAGUUCUGAGCAUUUGGUUAUCUAGUUUCAAACGACUUUUCUUGUGGCUUUGUGUGUGAAAUAAUUUAAGAUUAAUUUCUUUUGAUAAAAUAUGAAACAGAGAUACUUUGAAUUAUUUGCACCUGAGAAUAUAUUAAUAAGCUUGGAAAUUAAAUUAUAAGAAUAUAAGCUAGAAUAACCAUAAAUAUGCUCUCUUUUGAAUUAAAGUUUGUAUUUGAUAGCAGCGGCGGAUGUAGUAUGUGACCAAUGGGGGCUGUAGCCCCCGCUGGCUAAAAAAAAUUCUAAGAAUAAAAGAAAAAAAAUGUAAGAUUUCUAAUUAACCUCCAUUAAAUCUAUUAAAAAUGGUUCUAUAAAUUUAUGAAUUCACAAAAUUUCAACUUUGACUUUUAGAAUUAUAAAAGCUUAUAUUAUAAUUAAAAAUAAUGAUAGGUCAUCACCACAAACAUUUUUCUAUUCUUGAAAAUACGUCGAGAAUAAUUAUAAAUGUAUUAACAAAUAUUCUAUCAAUUUAAAAUUUUAGUUUUAAAAUUUUAUUAAUAUAUAAUCUAGCCCCCAAUAAAUUAUUUUUCUAAAUUGUCACUAUUUGAUAGUACUAUUAUAGAAAGUGCUUUGCUUUCAAACAUAAAUUUGUAAGGAAAAUGCUACUUACCCCGAGUCAGAUCCCGGGUCAAACCAUGAAAUGGCAGCAUAGGCCGUCCUUUCGUCUAUUAUUUUUUUUGUUUUGAUUAUUUUUGAAAUGACACCGUUUUUGCUUCUAUUUUUUUUUUUUUUACUAUGUUCUUAUUUCUUCUUUCUCUUCGUUUAACUUAACCCAGCUGCACACCCCUUGCUUAUUCCUUUUCGUUCUCUUCAUCACACCAUUUCUACUUUAAUUUUUUUCUUUGUUCUGAUUUGCUGGGAACGAAGAGAAGAGAAACAAUAAUAUACCUUAAUUGAAAAAUGGUGCCCCUGGUUUCUUUAGUUUGAAGCAUAGUGUAGAUUGAUGUGUAUAAAUUAUUAAACUUAUGCAUGCUUCUGGGUUGUGUUUAUAUGAAUCAUAUCUCGCAUCAUGAUUAUUUCAUUGCCAUUAAUUUCUUCCUUUGAACUUGGAGAUUGUCCUAAAAAAAUUGUGCUCAUAUGUUUUUAUGUCUUGAUCCAUUUCAACAACAAAGAGACUCUGCAGCUAUAUAUGUGGCUGUGCAGGAAAGUAUAAAGUUGUGUGUUUGACCUGAGAAUCUGAAAUUUUCCUUACUAGUGCAAAAUAUGUCCUUUAACUUGAAUAAAUUACCACCAUCCUGACCAAAUGAGACUAGAUUAAUGAAUAAUAGACUAGGGAUUGUGAAUGGCCGAACCUCGGUCGAUGAAGGAAAAUGGAACGAGGCAAACGAAGGGGCAGCUGGGUUAUGAAGGAUUUGCAGUUGGAUUUGCAAAUGAACGUGGCUGUCGGUGGAUGAAGAGAACGAAGAGGAAGAAGCAAGUGGUUUGCAGUUGGGUUCAACGAAAAGAAGGAAGAAAUCAGAACAAAAGAAAAAAAAUAAAAGAAGAACGGCGUCGUUUCAAAACGAAUAAAAAAAAAAAAAAGAGCCGAAAACGACGACCUAUGCUGCCUUUUCGAGGUUUCACCCGGGACAAAUACCAGAAAUCAAUUUGCAAAAGGAAACAUUUCGGCUCAUCUUCUUUGUCCUUUUUUUUUAACCCCCUUAGUGGUUAAAUUUAAAUUUUAUAUUUAUUUUUUCAUUUUAUUUACAAUCAAGUCAAUUUUUUUACAAAAUUAUGAAUAUAAGGAGAGAGAGAGAGAGAAGGAGAUGAUUAUAAUCCUUAUUCGAUAAGCAGUUCAAAUAUCGUUUAUAAUGUAAAAUUACUUGUGAAAAUUUGAAACAAAAAAAAUGGUGCUAUUUAGUUUAAUCAAAACACUCACUUUGGAAAGUAUUUGGGAUAAAAAAGUAAUUAAAAAAUUAAAUCUAGAGGGUAAACAUUAAUUUAUCAUCCAGAUAGAAUUACAAUUUUCAAUUUAUCUCUAAAAAAUAUAAAAUUUUAAUUACCCUUGUUUUCAUUUAGUAGAUGAUAACAAAUAGAAGGAUAUUAAUAUUUUUUUUUUCAUUUUCUUAACAAUAAAAAAUAGAGGUAACUUGAUAUUUUUAUAUUUUUUAAGAAUAAAUUGAAAAUUAUAUUCCUAAGUAGGGGUAAAGUUCGGUUUAUCCAAUACUAGGUGGUCAAACAAAGCUGCAAUGACGGACUACGUUGGUGACAGCUUCAAAAACGCAUGAAGUGAGAAAAUGGCAGUCGCCAAUGGGAAUUAUAUUUAAGCUGCAGAGCUAACGCAGAAGCAGAACAGCUAAUCAACGUACGAGUUCGAAAUCAAUCAUCUCAACGAGUCAAUUAAAGUUGCUUAAAAGGCAAGUUUCCGUCUCAUUAUCAUCAAUUCUUACUACAGAAAAAAUACCCAGAAUCAAAUCCAGCUUAAUGCACUAAAGACAAUGCAGAUUAAGCACAAAAACCAAAGCAAAGGAGAACGAUAUAUAUACAUAGGCAUAUUCUCCGUAGAAAUCAAGAAGAAGCAUGGAACCUGUCUCUCCAUAGGAAGUUGACCGGCCACAGAGAGAAAAGCCUGAAGAGACCCAUUUAAGAAUGGCAAGGGUGUCAGCUACUCGAUAACAUUCACAAAAGAUAUGCGUGGUAUAAUUUGCAAGCGCAUGCAUGCAUUCCUUUCAUGAGCUGAAGACAAUUAUUCCAUCUUGCAUGAAGCUCCCAAAGUCACGAUGACAUUUAUUCAUCACUGGAAGCGUGCAUGCAGUUUCAAUCGAAACAACCUCUUCUAUACUUAUGACAAUGAUUAAUUACAGCCAUAAGUCCACCAUAAAAAUAUAUAUGAAUGCCCCCUCUAGAUUAGAACUUGAGUUAUCUCCUGGAAUACAAGAAGUUGCCUCAAGAUAAUUAAGGGACUACCUUCAAAAAGACCAGCUGAAUUACAAGGAGAUAGGUUAAUUAAUUUCAAGCAAUCAGCUCCCGCCAGAGAGAUUGACAUCCUUUCAUUCUAUGAACACUUCCAUGUACAAGCUAGAUUCUGUCAACCAAAUAUUAGAGAGGUAUGAUUUAAAAGAUUUGCCAACAAACAGUAAUAGUAAAUCAUCAUGAAGUGGAAUUCCAGAGAUCAGACAAAGAUGAGUUUGAAACCAAAUUAAGUUGAACCAACCUAUGAAUAUAAGUGGUAAAUUCUGUUGAUAUAAGAACAACUACUUCCGCUGUCAGUGAGUUCAAUUCAAACUUUGAUCUCAAACUUGUUAAGACUUGUCUUAAGUACCAUAUAUCCUUAAGCCCUUAAUUACCUAUCAGCUUAAUCUUUUGUGUCAAGCAGUGAUUUCUAACAUGAUAUCAAAGCCAAUAUCUCAAAUUCGAAUCCCCCUACCUACAAACUCUUUCAAUAAUUUCUUCAAUUUCUGGGCUUACUUUUGAGCUCUUUUUUUUUUUUUUUUUGACUCAUUAACAAGUUUUUGUCUCAAGUUUUACUCCAUGUUUCACUUUAAGAGAACUGUUAAGACUUAUCUUCAGUAUACUAUUAUUAGACCCUCACCUACCAACUUAAAUUUUUGAAUCAAACGAUUUCUCUAACAAAGCCAGUUAUUUCAACAAAAAUCAGCCCCUAUAUAUUAAGUUAGAAAUAGUAAGGACAUAAACAUAUAUAUGUACCCAAAUCUAUCGGAAGUAGUUCAAAUCCUCUAGUUGCAUUUGAAUCAAGCAUGAAAGGAAUUAUGCAAGAGUCAUGCUAGACUGCCCGAAAAUUUAGCCCUAAUGAUUAGUUCUUGAAUAGGCAAACUCAAAAAGAAGUAGUUUGCCUCUUGGGGCACUUUCUCCGUCAAAAAUUUCAGGCAAACUAGAAAUUUCCUUUGUGCAAAAAACUGUACAUUUUAGAACAAAUUAAUAUAGGGGAAAUGGUUCUCACCUUAUUUAAUCUUUUGGAAGUAGUUCAAUCGACAAGUUGCAUUUGAAGUAGACUUCUUCACUAUUUAUUAAAAAUGGCUUUUGUCGACUCACAUAUUCCAGUUGCGUUCAUCUCCGCUCUCACAAGUUUCUGAUAAAAAUAUCAAUCAAUUUAAAAUAUAAUAAUGUUCAAGAAAAAGGGGACAGAUUAAAGAAAAAAAAAAGAACAAACAAACGAACGAACGAACAACAUCAAGGCUUGGUUUAAAAAAAGAUAAAUUGAAUCAAUUGAAUUGUGAAUGGUAAUCUUGCCUUGCAUAUGCCCCCAAAGCGGGCUCAAAAGAAUAAGUACCUUUGCCAUCUGAAGACAAGUAUAUAUCUCAAAGAACAUCACUUCUAGCUAUCUGGCAAGUUGGUCUACGACAGUUCUCCCGCCCCUGGAUAAAAAUGAACCGACUAUGUUUAAACACGCGGCUUUGGAGGAAAGAAAAUAUGAACAAUAAUAAUAAUUCAGACGAGCCGCCAUUAGAAUAGGCAGCUUGGUGAAAAUUAAUAAAAAAAUGAACAAUUAAUUUGUUAACAAAUACUCCUUUGCAUGCCAUUAGUGCCAUGCAGAGGUAAAAAUGAUGAUAAUAAAUAAGGGCAAUAAUAAAAACAACUAAAAAUUAAAAAAAAAAAAUUCCCACAAGCCCUAUUCUAGUCAUAUCGUAACAUAAUAAAAUGAAAAACAAAAGUCAAUGAUAGAUUCAAGAUAGCCAGUAAGAAAAACAACUAAAACUAAAAGAACAAGAAAACAAGGCAAAAGACUUACAUAUUUCAGAAAGUCUUGCGAAAAAUGUGAAAAAAUAUAUUAGCAACUUAGCCCUUAAGGUAUGUUGUUUUGCUCUCUGUGGAUAUUCUCUUCGGAUCAUUUGGAUCUAAUGGACGCAUCGCACGAAAUUUGACCUGGCAAAUUAAAGUGUUUGAUAAGGAUGAUAAAUGGAGAACUCAAAACUCAAACGAGGCAAUUGUAUAGAAUUAACCUCAAGAAACCUAACUCUCAAACAUGGAUCAAAUCCAAGAAAGAUAUGAUUCCGAGUCAACAGUCAAAUCUUCAACCCUAUGGUCAUGGCAACUGUCAAAUUGCAAAAGCCUUCCAAAUAUUUUGUUUCACUUUCACAUAGUCUUGGUUUCGAAAUUGGACCUACAUUUGACUCUAAAAUAAUCACGCCCAGCUUCUAAAGUUUCCUCAAAUUCAGUAACAACACAAAGAGAAAAUCCGAUAAACCUUUGAAAAUUACGCCAAUGCAGUGGCAGUUGAAUGGUUAGAAGAUGCUCUACUUUAACGGAUGAACCACUCAGGAAUGCUCUACUCAUUAACGAACGCUGACAAUAAGCCCCAUAUUCUGCGAUAUGUAUGAAAAUCAUUCAUUAUUUAUGGGCAUUAAUAAAUUGGCUUAGGUACUAGUAAAACCUCUCGAGAUAGUUAAAAGGUCAAACUUUCAAACACUGCUAACCUCUUUAGAGAAUAAUCUGGAUGCCGCAGUUGCCGUAUGCUGAAUCCCUAGCUGUAAAUCUGCCAAAGGGUUGGCUUGAUUCAGUUUCAGCCAAUAAGCGAAAAUGAAAUCGACUCCGUGAAAUGAAGAUCCCCGAACAUGCUGGCAGCAUGUUGAUGCAUCCAACUCUUAUAGACAUGACGGAAGCUAGGGCAAAGAAUAUUGAAGCUGCUUGCAAUUUUUUGCUUUUAAAUAACGGAGAGAAAAUGGAAGUUCUGGCCAUGAUUGAAGCAUAAUGCAACUGCACAAGUACAGGAAUCUCGGCUGAGAAAGUUGGUCGAUACUUUGAGGCAAAGUCUUAAACUCGUUUCCCCUUAGAUCCAAAGACUGCAACGGGGAUACACAUUACACAGCCAAAAAAUUUACCGUAAGUUAAUUGCAGUUUUUAUAAGCCUUUGGCAAAUGCUUUUACUUGAAAUAUUAAUACUUUUAAGCCUUUUGCAUUUCUCGAGAUUUAGGCACUCAACUGAUGCACGAAUUUUUUCUAUUGGGGUCCCACGUAAAGGUCUUAAAUUUUCGGUGAUCUGUGGAAACUCUGUGAGAUCAAUAUACAAGGAGAAAUUAACUGCAAUUGGAGAUCUGAAAUGGGUGUUACUUGGAAAGUGCUUAGGACUCUUGCAACCUUCGAGACAUAAGCUGCUAAGAUGAUUAAAAUUAUGAAUGGUUGGGACAACGUAAGGCAACUUUCUACGGUUCAAAAGUUCUAUUCUCUCGAGAUUUGGCAAUUCUGAGGAACAAGGGAUUUUCGCCGAGUCUCGAGAGUGAUGAAGAUCAAUCCAUUUUAACUUAAAUGCUUCCUGUAACAAAAGACAUAUUGCUACAAUGAAUUAGUAUUAAUGAAUUUCACAAUUUAUAUUCAACAAAAGAAAAAUAGAUGAUUAUUGAGCUAUUUUCUAUAGAUCAUAGAUUGUGAUAUAAAUGUAUGAAUUAAAAAAUAUUCUAAAUUGAUUCAAAAUUGUAAAGUAUAUGUAGGAUGUGACAAAUCAUUAAAAAAAUUAUUGGUAUACCUUUUUUUCUUCCUAAAGUUGUUCAAUUUCUUUAUUAUGAGGCAUGUUAAGUGAAAUAAGAUUCUCUUGAAUAAAAUUUAAUGGUAAGAUUUUCAAAUGAUAUCCAUGCCAAUGGAAAUAUCUUAAUUCAUUCCAGAGAUAUUGUAGGCCUUGGAGAAGAUGCACUUUAGAGACUAUACCCAAAUCAUCAAAAUGAUUAUGCAUAUAAAAUUUAAGUAAUUUAAGAUUUAGCAUUUUUGCGAAGCCUCUCGAACUUAGAUGUAUUUCACUUACUUUUGACGUGUCAAGGGACAUGCCUUCAAUUGAAUCAGUUCCCUAAUUAAAAGAAAAAAACAAAAAUUAGCAAUUGAUGAGUGAGAAUAAAAUAACGUAGAAAAAGCUUAAUCAAAUUUGUAACGAUUUGCAUAAUAAAACGAAAUAUUAUAAAUUCGAAGAAUCGAUAUUACUUACUUGAGUCUGUAAAUAAGAAAGAGAAGGAGCAAAUUAAUUAGCUAACCUUAUUUUUCUUUCGUACGUGAUAGACAUCUUCGUGAUACCACAAGCAGCUGCUACAUUUGCCUCGAUCUUUGUAAGAUUCAUGGCAAACAACCCUCUGUCCCAUUUCUUGCAAUAAGUCACGCAUCUGUAACUUAUUGUUUGAUAUUGUUAUUAUUGCCUUACCAGCUAGGAUAUUCAGUCCAUAAUGCACCAAAUAACGGUUGUUUAGUAUUAUUUUCACGUAAUCUCUACCCUCUCCGUUAAAGAAACAAGCAAUGUCUAAAAAUAAAUCCUUCUCUUUAUAGUUUAGUUCAUCGUAACUAAUUUUCAACAUAUCAUGAAUAUCAGGGUCAGAAAUUUGUUUUGGGUUGUGCAAUGCAUUUUCCCAAUGUUGUUUGCUCUUUCGAUAAAAGGACGAGCGUAAUACAUUAAGAGCUAAUGAACUGCCGUUGGCAUAAUCAACUACAUUGUCUGACAACACAAGAAGAUCCCCAGGGCAAUGGUUUUGUCUAAAAGCAUAGUAACAGAAGAUCUCAAGAGAUUCACGAUAGUUGAAUCCCUCAACCUUGUAUACGUAGUCUACUCCGUAUUUAUCAAGCACUUUCUUAUCUCUAGUGGUUACAAUGACUCUACUUCCAUGACCAAAUCGACUAAGCCCUCCUGUUAAAUAUUCUGAAUGUCCAAAUUUAUCCACCUUAUCGAGAAUAAUACAAACAUUCAUUUGCUGAAGCCUUUUCUUAAUACAUUGCGGUAGAAUGGAAGUUUCUACGGUACUUUCUCCUAAAAUUUGAGAAACAAUUUGAUCCCUUAAAUGUACUAAUUCAACCCUUUUUGAUUCUUCUCUAACAUUUGCCAUGAAGCACCAACCUUCAAACUGACUAGAAAUUUGGUUAAAGAUGGCUCCAGCAAUAUCUGUUUUAGAAAUACCACUCAUGCUCCAAGUUCUUACCAUUUGAAAAUCUGGCAAUCUGACGCAUAAAAGUGAAUUAUUUCGCUGAAUGUGUGAAUCUAGUCCAACCAGGUCUUCUGAAUUACCCAAGUGUGGAAUAUCAUGAAUUUUCUUCAAAAUAUCCUUGACAAUUUCAUCUACAAGUUCUGCUUCGGUUCUACCAAAUGUGAGAAAUGAACAACAUUAGCGAGUCAAAGAAAGAAAGAAAGAUAAAGGGGAAAAAGAAUUGGAGAGCCACACAUUAUUUUAUGAGUUUAUACUGGAUUUUGAAACAAGAGAUAAUUGAAAAAAAAAAAAAGGAAAACAGUAAAAAGAUAAACAGGUAUUUAAUUAAAAACUAAAAGUUGAAAACUUUUUUUUUAGGUAAUAUAGGCAUAAUAACAUAUAAGUUUUAAUUUGAGUCUCAAUUGAUAUGGUAUUUAUCCGUCAAAUUUUGGUUAUAUAAUUUUAUAACCUAUUAAAUUGGGACUCAAGAUGAAACUCAGAUAUUUGAAUCUCUAACAUUAUUGUUUUUUUCACCUUAAAAGAAUAUCGAUGACUUAGAGGAAAAAGUUGUGAUUUAAAAAAAAUGUAUAAAAAUUAUUUAUUAUUGAAAAAAAAUUGUUCAACCCCAUAAAGUAAUUAAUAAGGGCAUACUGAUUAUAUAUAACAAUGCAAAAUCAAUAUUUGUAACAAAGAAGCUAUAUUGCCCGGUGGCUUUAGCCUUUAUUUACUUGUCUUAUUUUUUUCCUUUUAUCUAAUAUCAAUCGUCCAUACAGAAUUUGUAGGCCAUUCUUUCAAUGUCAAAAAUGAUAUGAACUGACACUGUGAGUGAAUAGCAACACGUCCGAAUAACCUUUUAAUUUAUAAAAGGGGACACACACACACACACACACACACCCCCGAAUUUAUUUAUGAUAGAGUAAAUGAGACCUGAUUUUCAUGGAAUCCCAUCCACAAAGAUUGGAUGCUUGGGUCAAUGCAGCUCUCCAUUUGUGAACUUUUUGUGGUGUGUCCCUGAAAUCAUUUUCAUGCUCAACAAAAGCGUCUCCAAAACUUCCAGUCUGGUUCCUUACGUCGGAUGGAUCCACAUUGUAGAAAACCGGCAUAACAAUUUGGCCUUUCCUUUUCUUGCAUUCAAGAAUCUUGACGAGUUCAUGCAAGCACCAUGUUGAAGAAGCGUAACCUUUUGAGAAAAUUAUUACCGAAAUCUUUGAUUCUUCAAUUGCAUUCAAAAGGGCUGACGGAAUGUCAUCUCCUUUCUUAAGUUGUUCAUCAAUAAAGGUUUUUAUUUUUUCUCGACAAAAGGCAGCAAAGAGAUGGCUCGUAAAGUUGUUGCGAGUAUCCUCCCCUCUGAAGCUGAGGAAGACAUCGUAUUUUCUUGGAGAGCAGGAUGAUGAUGAUGAAGCCAUCUUCUAUAUAUAUGUGAGUGUGACACAAAGAGAUGGCCAGUAGAAGUGAAAUGAAAGGCGUGCUAUAUGAUCAUCAUGUGGAGGUGGGGUCAAUCUAUUUAUAUACGCAAGUGGUUGGAGCUUUUAAUCAGAUUGUUUUUGUUUAGGUGACUAAAACUAAAGAAAAUUUGCACUUGUAGCUGUAGCUUUCUCCUAUGGGUAAUGCAAAUCUAAUUUUCUCUUCAGAUAACUUUUGGCUGCUAAUCUUUCAUUGUGUGACUUUCCUGCCACCUUGGGACCGGGUUAAUUUCCUUGUAUUUUCUUGGAGAUUAUGCGCAUCCACCGCCGCAAAUGAGAAGUCCCCCUAAUGCUUACAUUAAAAAUGUUAAUAAAAUACACUAGUCAUCAUUUCUUUAGAGCCAAAAAGGAAACAUUGACGGUGAAAAGGAAGAAUAUUACGGAGGUGAAAAGAAAUAGCCGACGAUACAUUAAUAUAUUUUUGUUUUUGCAUGCGCAUUGCAUUAAUUGUCAAUUGCGGGUGGCCAACACACUGCAAACUAAACCCUCUCAAUGGGAACAAGGAAUUUUUUUUAUAGUUAUCGAGGAAACAUAAAUGAACUCUAUAAUUAAUCUAGCACAGAUAUCAAAGCGGAUUAUGAAGAAAACGUCAGAAAAUUCAUUUGCAGUUGGUGGAAGAGAUGGUAAAUUUCCACCAUAUAUAUACUACUUAAUACUUAUAUUCUUAUUAUUUUUAUAAUAUCCAAUAACCUCAACAUUGUAAUUUUACAUUAUUACUUUUAAUUUCAUAUAUACUUUUAUUUAUAUUUAUUAUAAAUUAAAUAAAUUAUAUAAAUAAAAAUAAAAAUUUUAAAUAUUGAAAAUAAGAAAUAUGAGUUUUGAUAUGAAUAAUAUUUUUCUAGUGCUUUUUGUUAUUUUUAAAUUUUUAUAAUAAAUAUAUGUUUUGUAUAUGACUCAUUAUCCCUAUUUCUUUUCAAUAUUUUUCUUUUUGGCCCGGAGGAGCUAUUGGAUAUUGUAAAAACAGUAAAAAGUUAGUGAUAUAUAUUGAUUUUAGUACGAGGAAAACUGAAAAUCUCUCUAUAAUGAAUGAGGACUGGAAAGCUCAUUUAAAAUUUCUCAUAUCAUUUUAACUUCUUCAUUUUCCCCCUUUACUUCUUCUCGUGGUACUAGAGAUUUGGUCUCAAAUUAUGCCUAUAUCAUAUUUAGGAGGAGUUUGAUUUAUAUUAAGGGAAAUUAUCUCCCACCCAUCUCAAGAGUAUUAAAAGUGCAAGUAGACACCACAAGUUUCUUAUAAUAUCUUACUUCAAGUUUUAGUUUUAUUUCAAGCAGCAACUUUUCCAUUAAUUUUGUUAGCCACAGUUACAGAAUCUAAAAUAAAAGACUAUCUUGCCCCUAGAUUCAUUUAACAAGGUAAAGGAUGCAUUCAGAGAAAAAUAUUCAUUUCUUUUAGAUUUUUUAACAUAGCUGAUGGAGUUACUAAAAAAUGAUUAGUUGAUUUAAAACUAAAAUUUUGAGGUGGUUUUGAAAUAUUAUUGAAAACUAAUGUUAACUACUUAUACUUUAAAUAUUCUUGAUGUGGUUGGGAGAUAAUUUCCUUAUAUUAAUUUAUAAAACAAACAAAUGUAAACAGUAGCCUUUUACAACUAUUGAAAGAAGAGAAACAACAAAUUAGGAGAACAUAUCAUGAGCUUUACCCAAUAACAGUUCUUCCAUACAUAUGUUAUUGCAUAUCUUAUAUGACUUAUUUAAUGGCCAUAAGUGCUUAUUUAAUCCCACAAGCUCUUAUCAUAAUUUUUGUUGCUGUUUAUUUAUUUUUUAAUAGAACUUUUAAAGUUUAAAUAAGUUAUUCUACCUCUACUAAUGAAAGCUUAAAUUUUGAGCUUUUAGGAGUAGAGGUUAAAUUUUUUUUUUAAAUGUUAAAAUAUCUUCUAUUUAUUUGACAAUCUUAUUUUAUAUUUUUCAUAACAUAAUUUUAAAAAACUCGUCUAUUAAAGUAUUUCAUAAAGACAUAAAUUUUUUAAUAAAAUCUCUUAUUAACAAUCAAACAACUAAUUUUUUUUUUGUAAAAAAUUUAUUUAUAAAAGUUUUAUUAACAAAGCUCUACUUGAAAAGCUUACCAAAUGAAGCCUUACACAAUUUAAAACUUUAAAAUUUUUUCAUCCUUUUCAAACAGAUUUUUCUUUCAUGCUUCGAAGGCCUUCUACUAGAUUUUUACACUUAUCAUUUUUUGUUUAAAAUGGGUAAUAAUAUGAUUUAAUUUUUUUUAAAAAUAUAAAUAAAAAUUUAAUUAUUUAGGAAAUAAAGGGCUUCAGACUUAUUUAGUUGUUUUCAAAGGUGGGGCGGCAAGCUGUCCCGUAAACGGAUGGAUGGUAGAAGAAAUGACACUUGGCAAAUGUUCCAAACAAGCAACAGUGUCAGGAAAAAUAGCAAGACCGCCCCACGAAUAAUUUAACAAGAAAAAUAACCAAAACAGAUUACCGCUUGCGCAAAAAUGAUGUCAACACAGCCCCACAAAUCCAAGAACGUGAUUAUGGUGCUAUUAGCAAUAGUAACCAGUGAAUUUAUUAGUAAAGACUCACACACGUCAGCAAUCUGAUGAAUGUUUUUAACAUUUCUGUGGGUGAUUAGAGAAGUAAAGACUGGUUUUAAUAGACUAAACAACAGUUGAAAUGUUCAAUAAAGUAGUUGACUAAUCCUGACCAUUAAUUAUUUCGGAUGGAAGGGGAAUCUAAAGUCAAGCACACUUUUUGAGACCACUCCCCAGCAAUUUUCCCAAAAUUUUCUCAUUUUGUCUGUCCUGUUAUAGUUCAAACAUUUAUUUUUUUUUUUUUUUUUUUCAAAAAUAUGCUUUUAUCAUAUCAGAGUUAUAUUUUAAUUGGACAAUAAUGACACGUUUAGCAUUACUCAUCAUCAAAUAAUUUAUACACAGCGUUAAAUGCUAAAAAUUAUACAAGGUACGUGGCAGUUAUGUCACAAAAAAGUGACGCAGGUGCGCGUCAUUGGCCUUUUUCUUUGUUUCUUGGAGUGAAAAACGCGUGGCGGUGGGCGCCGAUAAAGAUGAAACAGAAGAAUGAAGAAAAGUUAAUGAAGAAAAUAGAAAGAAAUGGAAUUCUUCCAUCACUUUUGAUCGAUCGUUGCUUUCUCUCUUUCAUUAUUAUUUUAAUUUGAUUAAAGCUCAACUAUUUUAGUUUAAUGAUUAUUGUUGAAUUCUACCAUAUAAAUUUACUGUGCACGUUACCCUCUUGAACAUUAUUUCGGUUGACGAAAUUUUCAAGUCAAGCACCCAUCUUAGGUUUUUAAUCUGUUAAUAAAGUGUUGACUGGAAAAAUGGAAAAAAAAAAAAGACAGAUCCAAUGUGAAGGAUUUUGUAGGUUCAUUGAUCAGGGCUUAACAGAAGAGCUUGACAAUUAUUUCAGAUGAAUGGAAUUUUCCAAGUCAAGCACAUCUUGAAAAGCUGAGGAUGAAUUAGCCAGCGUGUUAAGGAUAGAAGGAAAUUAUGGAAGUUCCAUGGAAAGAGAAAACUAAUUCUUACAAGGGUAAUUUUGAUAUUAAAAGUCGACUAAGACUGUUGUAGGGGGGGGGGGGGGGGGGGGGGGAGUUCACUUACGUUAAAUUUUUUACUUUAAAAAGUGAUUUAAUUUUUAUCUAUUAUAUCUAUUCAAUUCAAUGGUAGACGGCUGGAGACACUGAAAUUACUUAUAGACUUUAAAUUCUUACCCAUUUGAUUCAGUGGAUCUAAUAAAUGAAAAAUUAAAUCACCUUUUUAAAUAAAAAAAAUUUUAAGUUGAAGGGAACCUCACCUUAUUUGUAUGGUGGCUAUAACUUUAAAAAAUGUAUUGAAUCUUUAUAGUUAUUAUUUCGAACUGUUGAGAUUAUUUUCUAUUCACAAUUAUUUGAUAAAAAAAUCUAUAUUUUUAUUAUUUUUUAUCAAAUACUUACAAAAUACUAAUAUAGAUUUGCCUAGACCAAUACACUAUUUUCUUUUAGUUUUCUACGAUUAAAUCUUAUAUUAAGAAAUAUGGGAGUGGUAUAAUUUACCAACCUAAUUUGUUCUAUCUUUUUCUUAGGAUUGAUUCUUAUUUAUAUAUCAUUAUUCUAUAUUAUAUCAAAUUCUCAUUUUGUAGUUGUCUUGCAACUCCUUAUUAACAUGGAAGCCAUAAAUGUUUUAAUCAUAUUUACUAUUAUGUUCAUGAAUGGCUCAAAUUAUUUGAAGGCUUUUCAAUUAAAUCCUUAAACUAUUGGCAAUGGUCUUACUCCCAUAAUUUGUAUAAGUAGUUUUUUUUAUGCUAAUCACUACUAUUCUAGAUACGUUGUGGUAGAUGAUUAUUUGGCUACACAAGCCAAGUGGAUUAUUGAGCAAGAUACGAUAAGUCAUAGUCAACGAACUGGAAUUCAUUUAUAACCAGACUUCUUAUUAAUAGUGUUUAAUUUGAAGGUGGAAUUUCUAAAAAUUAGGUAAUCUUGGACAAAACUGUUGGGGCAGAAAUAUCAGCUACAUUGUUUUGAACCGGGUUGGUCCAUGUCCAUUCGAUCAAUGUGUAUUUGAGCCCAAUAUGAUUUUGCUGAUUUGACUGUCUGUUGGCCCAAUAGUUCACGCUAUUUCAUGGGUUAUGCACUAGCUUUUAUUAACCAAUUUAGCCCUUCUGUGUGCGGAAAUUAUGGGAAAAAAAAAAAAAAAAAAACAAAACAAAACAAAAGGGUAAAUAAGGUGAAAUAAGAUUGAAAGUGUGGGCCGGAGAAGCGUGAACCCUCUAAUUGUAUCAUAUACAUAUAAUUGACAAUACCAUAAAGGCUUAAGAUAAGAAUAAAAAUUCAAUUUGAUACAAAUGCAAUAAUUCUACCAAUUCAUUUCCAUAUUCGCAAAGUUCCUCAUACGAUUCCCAUCAUUGACUUUCUUCUGUACUCUUGGAAUUUAUUUUUAAUCACCCGGUAAUAAUGCUCGUGCCAAAAUGAUGGUAUACAUUGUGCUUUAAAUUAGCACACGAAAUUUUCCAUCUACAUAUCAUCAUUCAGUUAUAAUAUAAUUGGCGAGGGUGAGGUGGUGACCAAUAUGGAAAGCUAUGAUCACGUCCAUUAACUGACCGUUAACAUUUAUUACUAAAUUUAGAGUUAAUUCCGAUCUAAAUAUGAAAGCAAUCUUGUAGCCUAAAUGCAUAUUCUAUUCUCCUCAUCACUCAGAAAAUGGAUACACAUUCAUAUCUUCAAAUACUUGCACUAUUAGUUAUCUCUCUCGGCUACAUUUUUUCAGUUGCAGAAGCUCAGGAUCAAACUGCAGGUUUCGGUUAUGUUAUUCGAUCAUCUACCAAUGAUUCCUCCUCACUGACUGCUGAUCUUGCCCUCAUCAAGAGCUCCUCCGUUUUUGGUCCUGAUAUUCAGAAUCUCAGUCUUUUUGCAAGGUGUUUCAAAAGAGUUGUUUUUAUUCAUUUAUUUUAUCAUUUUAUGCGUACAUAUAUAUAUACACACAUGAUUCUAUUGCUUUACUGCAGCUACGAAACAAAAGAUCGUUUGAGAGUCCGAAUAACAGAUUCAAAGAACAAAAGAUGGGAAAUUCCUGAAGAUAUAAUAGCCCGCCAAUCGAACUCCACACGAAACCAUCAAUUCCUCUCGGACCCCGAAUCCGAUUUGGUCUUCAACCUCCAUAACGCCACCCCAUUCGGCUUCUCCGUCACCCGCAGGUCCUCCGGUGAACUUCUUUUCGACACGUCACCAAACGCCUCGAGUACUGAUAGCGUCUUGGUGUUCAAAGAUCAGUACAUUCAGCUGUCUUCCGCUUUGCCAUCACAAGGCUCUGAUCUUUACGGACUCGGAGACCACACGAAGAAGACAUUCAAGCUGAAGCCUGACCAGAAACAGAUAACUUUGUGGAAUGCUGACAUAGCAGCAGCAGCUGUUGAUGUUAACCUCUAUGGCGCUCACCCUUUUUACAUUGAUUUGAGAUCCCCCAAUGGGACAACUCACGGUGUCUUGCUACUUAACAGCAAUGGCAUGGAUGUUGUUUACACUGGUGACAGAAUUACUUUCAAGGUUAUUGGAGGGAUUAUCGAUUUGUAUUUUUUCGCCGGUCCGUCUCCAGAUUCAGUUAUACGACAGUACACAGAAUUGAUCGGCCGCCCUGCCCCUAUGCCAUAUUGAUCCUUUGGUAAGUCCUGAGGCUUCACAUUCAAUUUGAAUAAUUUAUUAUUUAUAUGCUUAUUAUUGAUCAUUGGUUUGUUGCAAAAUGUGUCCAGGAUUUCAUCAGUGUCGAUAUGGUUACAAGAAUGUGUCAUACCUUGAGGGUGUGGUCGCCGGCUAUGCAAACGCUAGUAUCCCGCUUGAAGUUAUGUGGACAGAUAUUGAUUACAUGGAUGCUUACAAAGAUUUCACUCUUGAUCCCAUCAACUUCCCUGUGGACCCAAUGAAAACAUUUGUUGAUAAUCUUCAUAAAAAUGGUCAAAAAUAUGUGGUCAUAGUGGAUCCGGGUAUCUAUCAAAUUCCCCCUUUGCUGAUUGCUGCUGACACUUUUGCGGUUUAUUUGUCCUGUGCAAAGCUCAUUUGGUUCUUAUUUCCCAUAGGUAUUAGCACAAAUGAGACUAACGAUACUUUCGAUAGAGGGAUGAAGGCUGAUAUCUAUAUUAAACGCGAAGGUGUACCUUACAAAGGUAAAGUUUGGGCCGGUGAUGUUUACUUCCCUGAUUUUCUGAAUCCUGCCAUUGAAACUUUUUGGGAAGGUGAGAUCAAAUUAUUUCGGAAUACUCUUGCGGUGGAUGGGUUUGGCUUGACAUGAAUGAGUUAUCUAAUUUCAUAACUUCGAGUCUCGCCCCGUCUUCUACUUUGACGAUCCUCCCUACAAGAUUAGUAAUGGUGGAGGUGGAAAGCAAAUUAAUGACAGAACUUUUCCGGCAAGUGCUCUGCAUUUCGGCAACGUUACAGAGUAUAAUUCCCAUAAGGCCAUAACCUUUAUGGACUGCUGGAAGCAAAGGCUACUCAUGCAGCCUUGAUCAAUGUCACCGGUAAAAGGCCAUUCAUACUUAGUAGAUCCACUUUUGUUAGCUCCGGAAAGUAUGCAGCUCAUUUGACUGGCGAUAAUGCCGCUAGAUGGGAUGAUUUGGCCUAUUCAAUUCUUGCCAUAUUGAAAGUUGGUGUACGACAGUCCUCCCGCCCCUGGAUAGAAAUGAACCGACUAUAUUUGAACACGCAGCUUCGGAGAAAAGAAAAUAUGAACAAUAAUAAUAAUUCAGACGAGCCGCCAUUAGAAUAGGCAGCUUGGUGAAAAUUAAUAAAAAAAUGAACAAUUAAUUUGCUAACAAAUGCUCCUUUGCAUGCCAUUAGUGCCAUGCCGAGUUAAAAAUGAUGAUAAUGAUAACAACAACUACAAUUAAAAAAAAAAAAUUAUUCCCACAAGCCCUAUUGGAGUCAUAUCGUAACAUAAUAAAAUGAAAAAAAAAAAAAUCUAUGAUAGAUUCAAAAUAUGCAGUAAGAAAAACAACUAAAAAUAAAAGAACAAGAAAACAAGGCAAAAGACUUACAUAUUUCAGAAAGUCUUGUGAAAAAUGUGAAAAAAUAUAUUGGCAACUUAGCCCUUAAGGUAAGUUGAUUUGCUCUCAGUGGAUAUUCUCAAUGGAUCAUUUGAAUAUAUGAUUCCGAGUCAAUAAUCAAAUCUUGAACCCUAUAGUCAUGGCAACCGUCAAAUUGUAAAAGCCUUCCAAAAAUUUUGUUUCACUUUCACACACAGUCUUGGUUUCAAAAUUGGACCUACAUUUGACUCUAAAAUAAUCACGCCCAGCAGCUAAAGUUUCCUCAAAUUCAGUAACAACGCAAAGAGAAAAUCCGAUUAACCUUUGAAUAGUACACCAAUGCAGUGGCAGUUGAAUGGUUAGAAGAUGCUCUACUUCGACGGAUGAACCACUCAGGAAUGCUCUACUUAUUAACGAACGCUGAUAAGAAGCCCCAUAUUCUGCGAUACAGUUAAGAGUAUCGUUGAUUAUUUAUGGGCAUUAAUAAAUUGGCUUAGGCACUAGUAAAACCUCUCGAGAUAGUUAAAAGGUCAAACUUUCAAACACUGCUAACCUCUUUAGAGAAUAAUCUGAAUGCCGCAGUUGCCUUUUGCUGAAUACCUAGCCGUAAAUCUGCCAAAGGGUUGGCUUGAUUCAGUUUCAGCCAAUCAGCGAAAAUGAAUUCGACUCUGUGAAAUGAAGAUCCCCGAAGGUGCUGGCAGCCUUCGGAUGCAUCCAACUCUUGUAGACAUGACGGAAGCUCGGGCAAAGAAUAUUGAAGCUGCUUGCAAUUUUUUGCUUUUAAAUAACUGACAGAAAAUGGAAGUUCUGGCCAUGAUUGAAGCAUAAUGCAACUGCUCAAGUACAGGAAUCUCAGCUGAGAAAGUUGCUUGAUACUUUGAGGCAAAGUCUUAAACUCGUUUCCCCUUAGAUCCAAAGACUGCAACGAGGAUACACAUUACACAGCCAAAAAAUUUACCGUAAGUUAAUUGCAGUUUUUAUAAGCCUUUGGCAAAUGCUUUUACUUGAAAUAUUAGUACUCUUAAGCCUUUUGCAAUUCUCGAGAUUUGGGCACUCAACUGAUGAACGAAUUUCUUCCAUUGGGGUCCCACGAAAAGGUCUUACAUUUCCGGUGAUUUGUGGAAACUCUGUGAGAUUAAUACACAAGGAGAAAUUAACUGCAAUUGGAGAUCUAAAAUGGGUGUUACUUGGAAAUUGCUUAGGACUUUUGCAACCUUCGAGACACAAGCUGCUAAGAUGAUUGAAAUUAUGAAUGGGUGGGACAACGUAAGGCAACUUUCUACAGUUCAAAAGUUCUGUUCUCUCAAGAUUUGGCAAUUCUGAGGAAUAAGGGAUUUUCGCCGAGUCUCGAGAGUGAUGAAGAUCAAUCCAUUUUAUCUUAAAUGCUUCCUGUAACAAAAAGGCAUAUUGCUACAAUGGAUUAGUAUUAAUGAAUUUUACAAUUUAUAUUCAACAAAAGAAAAAUAGAUGAUUAUUGAGCUAUUUUCUAUAGAUCAUAGAUUGUGAUAUAAAUGUAUGAAUUAAAAAAUAUUCUAAAUUGGUUCAAAAUUGUAACGUAUAAGUAGGAUGUGACAAAUCAUUAAAAAAAUAUUGGUAUACCUUGUUUUUUCCUAAAGUUGUUCAAUUUCUUUAUUAUGAGGUAGGUUAAGUGCAAUAAGACACUCUUGAAUAAAAUUUAAUGGUAAGCUCGUAAAAAAAACAAAAAUUAAUGGUAAGAUUUUCAAAGAAUAUCUAUGCCAAUGGAAAUAUCUUAAUUCAUUCCAGAGAUAUUGUAUGCCUUGGAGAAGAUGCACUUUAGAGAAUAUACCCAAAUCAUCAAAAUGCUUAGGCAUAUAAAAUUUAAGUAAUUUAAGAUCUAGCAUUUUCGCAAAGCCUCUCGAACUUAGAUGUAUUUCACUUACUUUCGACAUGUCUAGGGACAUACCUUCAAUUGAAUUAGUUCCCUAAUUAAAAAAAUAAAGGAAAUUAGCAAUUGAUGAGUGAGCAUAAAAUAACGCAGAAAAAUCUUAAUCAAAUUUGUAAGGAUAUGCAUAAUAAAUUGAAAUUUUGAAAAUUCGAAGAUUCGAUAUUACUUACUUGAAUCUCCAAAUAAGAAAGAGAAAAAGCAAAUUAAUUAGCUAACCUUAUUUUUCUUUCGUACGUGAUAGACAUCUUCAUGAUACCACAAGCAGCUGCUAUAUUUGCCUGGAUCUUUGUAAGAUUCAUGGCAAACAACCCUCUGUCCCAUUUCUUGCAAUAAGUCACGCAUCUGUAACUUAUUGUUUGAUAUUGUUAUUAGUGCCUUACCAGCUAGGAUAUUCAGUCCAUAAUGCACCAAAUAACGGUUGUUUAGUAUUAUUUUCACGUAAUCUCUACCCUCUCCGUUAAAGAAACAAGCAAUGUCUAAAAAUAAAUCUUUCUCUUUAUAGUUUAGUUCAUCGUAACUAAUUUUCAACAUAUCGUGAAUAUCAGGGUCAGAAAUUUGUUUUGGGUUGUGCAAUGCAUUUUCCCAAUGUUGUUUGCUCUUUCGAUAAAAGGACGAGCNNNNNNNNNNNNNNNNNNAAAUUAUCAAAGGCAUGCGAAGGCUCACUGCUGUACGCCCUCUCCGUUAAAGAAACAAGCAAUGUCUAAAAAUAAAUCUUUCUCUUUAUAGUUUAGUUCAUCGUAACUAAUUUUCAACAUAUCGUGAAUAUCAGGGUCAGAAAUUUGUUUUGGGUUGUGCAAUGCAUUUUCCCAAUGUUGUUUGCUCUUUCGAUAAAAGGACGAGCCUAAUACUUUAAGAGCUAAGGAACUGCCGUUGGCAUAAUCAACUACAUUGUCUGACAGCACAAGAAGAUCCUCAGGGAAAUGGUUUUGUCUAAAAGCAUAGUUACAAAAGAUCUCAAGAGAUUCACGAUAGUUGAAUCCCUCAACCUUGUAUACGUAGUCUACUCCGUAUUUAUCAAGCACUUUCUUAUCUCUAGUGGUUACAAUGACUCUACUUCCAUGACCAAAUCGACUAAGCCCUCCUGUUAAAUAUUCUGAAUGUCCAAAUUUAUCCACAUUAUCGAGAAUAAUACAAACCUUCAUUUGCUGAAGCCUUUUGUUAAUAUAUCGUGGUGGAAUGGAAGUUUUUAUGAUAUUUUCUCCUAAAAUUUGAGAAAGAAUUUGAUCCCGUAAAUGUUCUAAUUCAACCCUUUUUGAUUCUUCUCUAACAUUUGCCAUAAAGGACCUACCUUCAAACUGACUAGAAAUUUGGUUAAGGAUGGCUCUAGCAAUAUCUGUUUUAGCAAUACCAUGCAUGUCCCAAGGUCUUACCAUUCGAAAAUCUGGCAAUCCGAUGCAUAAAAGUGAAUUAAUACGCUGAAUGUGUGAAUCUACUCCAACUAGGUCUUCUGAAUUACCGAAGUGUGAAAUAUCAUGAAUUUUCUUCAAAAUAUCCUUGACAAUUUCAUCUACAAGUUCUGCUUCGUGUCUACCAAAUGUGAGAAAUGAACAACAUUAGUGAGUCAAAGAAAGAAAGAAAGAAAGAAAGAAAGAAAGAAAGAUAAAGGGGAAAAAAAUGGAGAAGAAACCACAUAUUAUUUUAUGAAAACAAGAGAUAAUAAUAAAAAAAAGAAUGGAAACAGAUAAGAAGAUGAAGAGGUAUUUAUUUAAAAACUAAUAGUUAAAGACCUUUUUUUUUGGUAAGUAAUAUAGGCAUAAUAACAUAUAAGUUUCAAUUUGAGUCUCAAUUGAUAUGGUAUUUAUCCAUCAAAUUGUGGUUAUAUAAUUUUAGAGCAAUGAUAUAGCCACAAAUUCUUGUACAAAUUUAUUUUGUACAAACUGAUGUGGCAUUAAUUCAUUGGUUGAAUUAAAUAUCUCUUGGUCCAUAUGAUUUAUUUAUAUUAUUUUAUAUUUUCAUUCAACCAAUGAAUUAAUGUCACAUCAGUUUGUACAAGAUAAGUUUGUACAAGAGUUUGUAUCUGUAACAUCACUCAUAAUUUUAUAACCUAUUAAAUUAGGACUCAAGAUGAAACUUGGAUAUUAGAAUCCCUAACAUUAUUACUUUUUUCAUCUUAAAAAAUAUUGAUGACUCCGAAGAAAAAGUUGUGAUUUUUUUUUAAAAAAAUAAAAAAUGUAUAGAAAAUAUUUAUUAUUGAAAAAAAAAAUUUGUUCAACCCCAUAGAGUAAUUAAUAAGGGCAUACUGAUUAUAUAUACACAAUGCAGAAUCAAUAUUUGCAUCAAAGAAGCUAUAUUGUCUGGCGGCUUCAGCCUUUAUUUACUUGUUUUAUUCUUUUUAUCUAACAUCACUCGUCUAUGCAGAAUUUGUAGGUCAUUCUUUCAAUGUCAAAAGUGAUAUUAACUGACUCUGUGGGUGAAUAGCAACACGUCCGAAUAACUUUUCCUGGUACAAUGUAAGAUAUGACCAAUGAGUAAUUAUUAAUUUAUAAAAGGGGAUACCCCCCCGCGCCGAAUUUAGUUAUGAUAGAGUAAAUGAGACCUGAUUGUCAUGGAAUCCCAUCCACAGAGAUUGGAUGCCUGGGUCAAUGCGGCUCUCCAUUUGUGAACUUUUUGUGGCAUGUCCCUGAAAUCAUUUUCAUGCUCCACAAACGCGUCUCCAAAACUUCCAGUCUGGUUCCUUACGUCGGAUGGAUCCACAUUGUAGAAAACCGGUAUAACAGUUUGGCCCUUCCUUUUCUUGCAUUCAAGAAUCUUGACGAGUUCCUCCAAGCACCAAGUUGAAGAAGCAUAACCUUUUGAGAAAAUUAUUACCGAAAUCUUUGAUUCUUCAAUUGCAUUCAAAAGGGCUGACGAAAUGUCAUCUCCUUUCUUAAGUUGUUCAUCAAUAAAGGCUUUUAUUUUUUCUCGACAAAAGGCAGCAAAGAGAUGGCUAGUAAAGUUGUUGCGAGUAUCCUCCCCUCUGAAGCUGAGGAAGACAUCGUAUUUUCUUGGAGAGCAGAAUGAUGAUGAUAAAGCCAUGUUCUAAUAUAUGCGUGUGACACAAAGAGAUGGCAAGUAUAAGUGUAAUGAAAGGCGUACUAUAUGAUAAUCAUGUGGAGGUGAGGUCAGUCUAUUUAUAUGCACAAGUGGUUGGAGCUUUUAAUCAGAGUGUUUUUGUUUAGGUGACUAAAAAUAAAGAAAAUUUGCACUUGUAGCUGUAGCUUUCUCUUAUGGGUAACACAAAUCUUUUUUUCCUCAUGAGAUAACUUUUGGCUGCUAAUCUUUCAUUGUAUGACUUUCCUGCCACCUUGGGGCCGGGUUAAUUUCCUUGUAUUUUCUUGGAGAUUAUGCGCAUCCACCGCCGCAAAUGAGAAGUCUUCCUAAAGCUUACAAUAGAAAUGUUAAUAAAAUACACAAGUCAUCAUUUCUUUAGAGCAAGCAAGAAAAUAGUGACGGUGAAAAGGAAGAAUAUUACAGAGGUGAAAAGAAAUAGCCGACGAUACAUUAAUAUAUUUUUGUUUUUGCAUGCGCAUUGCAUUAAUUGUCAAUUGCGGGUGGCCAACACACUGCACACUAAACCCUCUCAAUGGGAACAAGGAAUUUUUUUGAUAGUUUUCAAGGAAACAUAAAUGAACUCUAUAAUUAUUCUAGCUCAGAUAUCAAAGCGAAUUAUGAAGAAAACGUCAGAAAAUUCAUUUGUAGUUGGUGGAGGAGAUUGCAAAUUUCCACAUGUCCUAAAAUUAAUAUAUACUACUUAUAAUUUUAUUAUUUUUAUAAUAUUUAAUAAUCUCAGGACUAUAAUUUUACAAUAUUAAUUUAGUUUUAUAUACACUUUUAUUCAUAUUUAUUAUAAAUUAAAUAAAUCCUGUAAAUUAAUAAUAAAAGUUUUCAGUUGUUUUUACAUAUUUUUAUAAAAAAAAAAUAUUUUAUAUAUGACUCAUUUAUCCCUCCUUCCUUUCUUUCUUUUUUUUUUUUAAUAGAAGGGCUAUUGGAUAUUUUAAAAACAGUAAAUGGUCAAUGGUAUGUAUCUAUUUUAGUACAAGAAAAACUGACAAUCUCUCUGUAAUGUAUGAGGAUUAGAAAGAUCAUUUAAAAUUUCUCAUAUCAUUUUAACUUCUUCAUUUUUCCCCUUCAACUUGCUCCCUUUACUUGUUCUCGUGGUAAUAGAGAUUUGUUUUCUAUGCUUAUACCAUAUUUAGGAGGAGUUUGAUUUAUAUUGAGGGAAAUUAUCUCCCACCCAUCUCAAGAGUAUUAAUAGUAUGAGUAAAUGCCACGAGUUUCUUAUGAUAUCUUACUUCAAGUUUUAGUUUUAUUUCAAGAUUAUCUUAACCCCAAAUCCAUUUAAAAAGGUAAAACAAUAUUUUGGGAUACCUUGGGAGAAAAAUAUUCAAUUCUUGUAGAUUUUUUAACAGUAGCUUAUGAAAUUGAUAAAAAAGUGAUUUGUUGAUAUAAGAUUAUAUUGAGAUAUUAUAAAAAGGACGUGGUCUCUUACAACUAUUGAAAGAAGAGAAACAAAUUAGGAGAGCGUAUCAUCAGCUUUACCCAGUAACAAUUCUUGCAUGCAUAUAUUACACAAUGUAAAGAUUUAGAGAUUUUUUUGAUCCUUUUAAAAAAGGAUUUUUCUUUCAUGCUUCGAAGGCCUUCUAUUAGGUUUUUACGCUUAUGGUUUUUGUUUAAAAUAGGUAUUAAUAUGAUUUAAUUUAAAAAAAAUAGAAAUAAAAUUUUAAUCAUUUAGGAAAUGAAUGGCUUCAGACUUAUUUAGUUGUUUUCAAGGUGGGGCGGCGUGAAUGGACGGAUGGUAGCAGAAAUGACACUUGGCAAAUGUUCAAAACAAAGCAACUAUAUCAGGAAAAAUAACAAGACCGCCCCGCGAAUAAUUUAACCAGAAAAAUAUCCAAGACAGAUCACCGUUUCCGCAAAAAUGAUAACAACACUGCCCCACAAAUCAAAGAACCUGAUUACGGUGUUGUUAGCAAUAGUAACUAGUGAAUUUAUUAUUAAAGACUCGCACACGUCAGCAAUCUGAUGAAUGUUUUGGCCAGCCAGAAUCCAUUUUAACAUUCCUGUGGGUGAUUAAAGAAGUAAAGACUGGUUUGAAUGGACUGAUCAGCGGUUGAAAUGUUCAAUAAAGUAGUUGACUAAUCCUGACCAUUAAUUAUUUCCGAUGGAAAGGGGUUUUUCAGUCAAGCACACUUUCCGAGACUCCUGCCCCGUAAUUUUCCAAAAUUUUCUCAUUUUGUCCAGUUAUUGUUCAAACAUUUGUUUUAUUUUUUUGGAAAAUUUGUUUUUGUCGUUUUAGAAUUAUGUUACUUUAAUUGGACGAUAAUGAUAGUGUAGCAUUGCUCAUUAUCAAAUAAAUUUUUUUAAUGUAUUAAAUUAUUUAGUAUCUAAAGAUCACAUUGAUCCUAAUUAAUCUAGAUUUGAAUUAGAUAAAAUCAUUGAGCGUAAAUUUUUUUUAAUAAAUAUUUAAUAUAAUUAUAUUUUCAAGUCUCAAUUCGAGAAUUUCGAUCAAGUUUAAACAACCUCAUAUCAGUUGAUCAAAUAAUUUAUAAUCAGUGUUAACUGAUAAAAAUAUCCGAGGUAGGUGGUAGUUAUAUCACAAGAGAGUGACGCAGGGGCGCGUCAUUUGCCUUUUUCUUUGUUUCUUGGAGUGAAAAACGUGUGGCGGUGGCCGCCGAUAAAGGUGAAACAAAAGAAUGGGGAAAAGUUAAUGAAGAAAAUAGAAAGAAAUGGAAUUCUUCCAUUACUUUUGAUCAAUGUUGCUUUCUUUCUUUCAUUUUUAUAUCAAUUUGAUUAUGGCUAAACUGUUUUAGUUUAAUGAUUAUUGUUGAAUUCUACCAGACAAAAUUUACUAUGCACGUUACCCUCUUGAACAUUUUUUCGGUUGAAGAAUAUUUUCAAGUCAAGCACUCAUCUUACGUUUUUAAUUUGUUAAUAAAGUGUUGACUGAAAAAAAAAAAAAAAAAAGACAAACACACACAAAAUUAAUCUUGACAAUUAUUUCAGAUGAAUGGAAUUUUCCAAGUCAAGCACAUCUUGAAAAGCUGAGAAUGAAUUCGUUUGCUUGAUAUGGAGAGAAGGAACUUAUGGAAGUUCCAAGGAAAGAAAACACUAAUUCUUACAAGGUUAAUUUUGAUAUUAAAAGUCGUCUAAGUAUUGUUGCAGGGGGAGCGUUCUCAUACGUUAAAUAUUUUACUUUGAAAAGUGAUUUAAUUUUUAUCUAUUAGAUCUAUUCAAUUCAAUGGUAAGACGGAUUGAGACACGAAUACUGCUUUUUGACUUUAAAUUCUUACCAUCUAAUUGAAUGGAUCCAAAUAAUAAAAAAUUAAAUCAUAUUUUUCAGUAAAUUUUUUUAAGUUGAAAGGAACCUCACCUUAUUUGUACAGUGGUUAAGACUUUUAAAAAUGUAGUUAACCUUUAUAAUUAUUGUUUCUGAUUGUUGAGAUGAUUUUAUAUUCGCAGUUAUUUAAUAAAAAAAUUAUAUUUUUAUUAUUUUUAUCAAAUUAUUAUUUAAAAAUAAUACAUAGGAAAUAUUAAUAUAAUGAAUUUGCCUAGACCAAUACACUAUUUUCUUUUAAUUUUUAGAAUCAAAUCUUAUAUUAAGAAAUCUAGGAGUGAUAUAAUUUACCAACCUAAUUUGUUCUACCUUUAAUUCUUAUUUAUUUAUCAUUAUUAUAUAUUCUAUCAAAUUCUCAUUUUGUAGUUGUCGCGCAACUCCUUAUUGAUAUGGAAGCCAUAAAUGUUUUAAUCAUAUUUACUUUUAUGUUCAUUCAUGAAUAGCUCAAAUUAUUCCAAAGAUUUUCAAUUAAAUCCUUGUAACUAUUGGCAACGGUCUUACUCCCAUAAUUUGUACAAGUAGUUUUUUUUUUUUGGGCUAAUCACUAUUAUUCUAGAUAGGUUGUGGUACAUGAUUAUUUGGAUUAUUGAGCCCGAUUUGAUAAGUCAUAGUCAACGAACUGGAAUUCAUUUAUAAACGGACUUCUUAUUGCUAGUGUUUAAUUUGAAGGUGGUAUUUCUUAAAAUUGGGUAAUCUUGGACACAACUGUUGGGGCAGAAAUAUCAGCUACAUUGUUUUGAACCGGGUUGGUCCAUGUCCAUUCGAUCAAUGUGUAUUUUGAGCCCAAUAUGAUUUUGCUGAUUUGACUGUCUGUUGGCCCAAUAUUUCACGCUAUUUCAUGGGUUAUGCACUAGCUUUUAUUAACCAAUUUAGCCCUUCUGUGUGCGGAAAUUAUGGAAAAAUAAAAAAAAACAAAACAAAACAAAACAAAAGGGUAAAUAAGGUGAAAUAAGAUUGAAAGUGUGUGCCGGAGAAGCGUGAACCCUCUAAUUGUAUCAUAUGCGUAUAAUUGACAAUACCAUAAAGGCUUAAGAUAAGAAUAAAAAUUCAAUUUGAUACAAAUGCAAUAAUUCUACCAAUUCAUUUCCAUAUUCGCAAAGUUCCUCAUACGAUUCCCAUCAUUGACUUUCUUCUGUACUCUUGGAAUUUAUUUUUAAUCACCCAGUAAUAAUGCUCGUGACAAAAUGAUGAUAUACAUUGUGCUUUAAAUUAUCACAUGAAAUUUUCCAUAUACAUAUUAUCUUCAGUUAUAAUAUAAUUGGCGAGGGUGCGGUGGUGACCAAUAUGGAAAGCUACGAUCACGUCCAUUAACUGACCGUUAACAUUUAUUACUAAAUUUAGAGUUAAUUCCGAUCCAAAUAUGAAAGCAAUCUUGUAGCCUAAAUGCAUAUUCUAUUCUCCUCAUCACUCAGAAAAUGGAUACACAUUCAUAUCUUCAAAUACUUGCACUAUUAGUUAUCUCUCUCGGCUACAUUUUUUCAGUUGCAGAAGCUCAGGAUCAAACUGCAGGUUUCGGUUAUGUUAUUCGAUCAUCUACCAAUGAUUCCUCCUCACUGACUGCUGAUCUUGCCCUCAUCAAGAGCUCCUCCGUUUUUGGUCCUGAUAUUCAGAAUCUCAGUCUUUUUGCAAGGUGUUUCAAAAGAGUUGUUUUUAUUCAUUUAUUUUAUCAUUUUAUGCGUACAUAUAUAUAUACACACAUGAUUCUAUUGCUUUACUGCAGCUACGAAACAAAAGAUCGUUUGAGAGUCCGAAUAACAGAUUCAAAGAACAAAAGAUGGGAAAUUCCUGAAGAUAUAAUAGCCCGCCAAUCGAACUCCACACGAAACCAUCAAUUCCUUUCGGACCCCGAAUCCGAUUUGGUCUUCAACCUCCAUAACGCCACCCCAUUCGUCUUCUCCGUCACCCACAGGUCCUCCGGUGAAGUUCUUUCCGACACGUCGCUAAACGCCUCGAGUGCUGAUAUCGUCUUGGUGUUUAAAGAUCAGUACAUUCAGCUAUCUUCCGCGUUGCCAUCACAAGGCUCUGAUCUUUACGGACUCCGAGACAGCACGGAAGAAGACAUUCAAGCUGAAGCCUGACCAGAAACAGAUAACUUUGUGGAAUGCUGACAUAGCAGCAGCAGCUGUUGAUGUUAACCUCUAUGGCGCUCACCCUUUUUACAUUGAUUUGAGAUCCCCCAAUGGGACAACUCACGGUGUCUUGCUACUUAACAGCAAUGGCAUGGAUGUUGUUUACACUGGUGACAGAAUUACUUUCAAGGUUAUUGGAGGGAUUAUCGAUUUGUAUUUUUUCGCCGGUCCGUCUCCGGAUUCAGUCGUACAACAGUACACAGAAUUGAUGGGCCGCCCUGCCCCUAUGCCGUAUUGGUCCUUUGGUAAGUCCUGAGGCUUCACAUUCAAUUUGAAUAAUUUGUUAUUUAUAUGCUUAUUAUUGAUCAUUGGUUUGUUGCAAAAUGUGUCCAGGAUUUCAUCAGUGUCGAUAUGGUUUGUAGCUGCAGAUAAAGAAUCAGUUGGGCAUGGCUUCUCUGUUCGAUCAACAGUUGUUGACUCCUCACUGAAGUCGUUGACUGCUGGACUUGGCCUCAUCAGGUCCUCCUAUGUUUACGAACCUGAUAUUCAGAGCCUCAUAUCUUUUUGCCAGCUUUUAAAAUGUACGACUUAACUGUUCCUUGCUUUUAUGUAUUGUUCACUGACUGUUAGACUCAGCAGCCAGCGCGAUAAAGACUUGUUGCAAGUUCUAAAUUCUGAAUUUAAGAUUGAUUGAUGUGAUUAUCUUCUGAGUUUCUCUUCAGCUUGGAGACAAAAGUCCGUUUGAGAGUUCGAAUAACAGAUUUUAAAAAACAAAGAUGGGAAAUCCCGCAGGAAAUCAUCCCCCGCCAAUCCUAUUGCACUCACUGCUCUCUGCCGAAGAACAUAUUAAACUCACUGGUAAACAAGGAUAAAGAUUCAUUCCAUUUUCUAUACCUUAAUAAACGGUGCGUAAUGCUUUUUAUAUGUCUUCCAAAGAAAAAUAAUGACAAACUGCUUCACAAACAAAAUGCAUAAAUAAGUUACAAUUGCUUUCGAACCUUUAUUUUCUUAACUUCUGCCCGGAAUUGACUUGCUCCCAGAAAUACUUAGAACAACGUUUUUUUUUUAGGGGAUGAUAAAACCCAAAUCCUCCUAAAAUAGAUGUAAAUACAUAAAAAUAAAAGAAAAGAAUACACCAUCAAUUGAAAUAAUAAACUAGCAAUCCUCUUGUAUGAUAUGAGGAAAAGUUUGCGCAUUUAAAUAGAGAAUGCCAGAUAAGCCCGUAGGUAGAUUUGGAGUACACAAGAAACGCUGGCUAACCCGAUGAAUGCAAGCCUAGUUGGCCAGAAAAUCAGUAGCAGAUGUAGCCUCCCAAAGCACAUGUCUAAUCAAAAUAUGAGAAGAAGAUAUCAAAGCACACACCCGACGUAACAAAUAAGCAUAAUCCCAACAAACAGGGCCCUGAGAAUGAAUCUAAGAUACCACAAUGGCUGAAUCUGAUUCUACCUCAAGUGUAGAGUAUCCAAGAUGAGUAGCGAACUCUAACCCCUCACAAAUAGCCAUAAGCUCAGCAUAAAUAAUCGGUUGGCAACCAAGAAAAGAUCCAAAAGCAGCCAAAAUGUCAUCUUGAUGAUCACGAAGAAUACCACCCAUUGAACAACGUUAUUUGUUUUAUUCAUUUUACAGAAAAAUAAUGUAACAUACAAAAGCUCAAUACUAUCCUAUACAACUACAUGUGUAGCCUGCUACUUAUGUUUAUAUCUACUUUACUGAGACGGCUCAAACGCUGAUGAUUUCUUGAGCCAGUCAAUAGAAAAGAAUGUUGUGAAGAAGUAAAUUUUCUUUCAUCCUAACCUAGACAAUUUCAGACAUGACUUCUGGAAUUAUGAGAAAUUCAUGACAUAUCAAAACAAUGAAUACAAGUAUUAUCAAUAAGCCUAGUUUACAAGUCUCUCUGGCUCAGGAAUGAGAGCAGAGCUCACAUCAUUCCAGAAAUGAAAUGUCAAUGACCCACCUAGAAUUUUUUUUCCGUAGAGCACCUUGUUGAGCUUUUUCACUUUCUGUCGCUGGAGUGAUGAAAUAUCUGUUUGCAUUGAAGAUGUAUUAUGUCAAAAAUGAGAAAGUGUAGUUAAAACCAAAAGCACUCAACACUUAAAUGGUUGAGCUAUAAAAGAAUGGAUUUGUGCACAAACAUAAACCAGACAAACAUAAGUACAAUAGCAAGAAGGUGAAUAAAGAUGGUAAUGAUUUAAUGGAAAAAUCAUAAUUUAUAAGCAACAUAAGGAGUUAACUUAUAGUUCAUUGUGAAAAAAUAAAUUUAAUUUAUGGAUUCAGUGGUUACAGAGCUAUGCAAAGCUUAAGACACGCUUGAGCUUAAGCACAAAGCAGAGCACAUGCUAGGAUGUUAUUUUGCACAUUUUUAACCACAUGCAACCAUCAUGAAUCAUGGGUCAACCACUAGUGUAAAAAAUAUACUCAAUUUCUAAAAAUAAAAUGGUCCUCAUAGAUAGUGGUAGUCAAAACUCAAAAGCAGAAAAAAGUUCUUUCCUGACUAUUAAGCCUCGAAAAUACUAAGAGACGUCCCAAGUCUAACAAAAUGAUUUGGCAAAACUCUAUGAGACAUAUUGGCAAAACACAAUUAUCCUUCAAAUCAUCAUGAUAAAAUAGAUCAAUCGAAUAAUAUACCAGUAAGUACUCGACUGCAGAUCAGCAAAAAUAAGAUCAUUAAGAUAGGUUUCACUCUUUCAGAUCCCCGUACCCAUCCCAGUCUUGGUGAUUAAUGCAAUUACCAAGAGCAAAUGCAAAAUAUUUCACAUUUCCAAUGUGUUGAAUUAUGAAUCUAUGCAUGAAUGUAGGUCAUAAACAAGAAAAUUGUAAGAAGAUGGAAUAUUACCUUGUGAUAUUCUGUGGAUUAAUGAGCAAGAAAAUGAAGGACGGUUGUACAUUUAACUCAAUUUUUUCACUGUAAUUAUUAUCUUUACUUUCGAACCUUCUAGUAACUCGUUGUAAGAGAUCAGCACCAUUUCAUUUCAACGGGUUUCACCAUACGUCAAAUAGAACUCUUUUAAGCCCUCCAAUAUGAAAAGAAUGCAGAGAAAAGAGAUGCAAACCUCAAAGCUGGAAAUGCAGUUGUAGCAACGAAACAUAAUUUUUUUCAUGUAAAGCUCCUUUUUCCCAAGUAAUGACAGAAUCAAGAUGGUGCAUGUAAGGCUGUAACACCCGAAAUUUACGUAAGAAUCUCAAGGGGGAUUUGGAAUGAAAGCUCAUAACAUUAAUCUUAUUUUUAUUCUAAAAAGAAAAUCAAUAUUAUCGAUGAUUGAAAGAUGAUCUCUAAAAUAAUAAAUAUAACAAUAAUCCUCCCAAAAAAAACUCUAAACAAUAAUUAAAAUAGCAACAAACGAUUUAUCAAGAUAACACCAAAGCUUUUUAUCUAACAAAUCGUCUUCUCUAAACCCAAAAGUCUACACCUCUAAAAUCAAUCUGUAAAAUGUUGGAGACGAUGGGUAAGUCGUCAACUUAGUAAGCAAACUCAUGAAUAAAGUUACUAAUAACAAUAAAAUACAUACUAAUCAUUACGAAGUACCAUAAAUUAGAAAAUCAAUAAUUACUUCAUAAUCUAAUACAUAUGUACGUUAACACCCAUAAUCAAUAAAAUUAUAACAUAAAUAAUCAUUUUUAAUAAAUAAUCAUUUAAGAAAUCAUUUAUUAAUAAAACAUUUUCAUUUGUUCAAUUGUUCAUGCUUGUACUCCCGGUGACUUGGCUAGUAGUUCAGUAAGUCAACUGCAUCCCCAGUGACCGAGUCAGUAGUUCAAUCAGAGUAUGUUACCCUACAAUAAUCAUCAAUAGGUGUGCACAAUAUAGUUAGUUGCUCAGUAAUAUCAGAAAUAGCAACUAUAGACAAUGAGCCAAAACCUUAGAUAUAAUUUUCAGUCUUUCAACAUUAAUCAUUUAAUAAUAGUUCAAUAAAACGCUCUUAUAAGGCAUUUAAUUGGCAAAGCUUUAAAAAUAUUUAAAAAUAAAAUAAUUUAUGGAAAGACAAUUAUUUUAAAGUCAAUUUUUAAAACAAUUAAAAAAACAUUUUAAAUAAGCUUUUAGUCAAAAUAUAAUUUGUUUGAGGGAAAUACUCCGACGAGACCAGACAUGAUGAGCAGAUGUUUGGUGGCAGAAGUCUGCGAGCAGGUGUGUCCUGUAAGAGCCAGGUAGCAGGGGAACAGGGGCAGGAAUAUCCUGCUCAUCCACGAGCACGUCAUCCGUGAGGCCAAUUUCCUGUAAGAAGCAUAAAGCCAUUCCUGCUGUAUUCUUGCUAAGGGUUGAUUCGAGGAGACUCGGUCAACGACAGUUGGCGAGGCAUGCUCUCCAGCCCGAGAAUCUAGGCACGAAGGCCACGCAACCACCCACGACUACGGAAAUGGGGAAUCCACGUUCGAGAGGUGGGAGGAUAACGGGCGUAGACUGCGGAGAACUGGGAUUCAGAGGAUGCCUAUAAAAAGGUAGCCAGCGAAGGUAAAAGGGUUAGACUUUUUGCUAUUAGAACUAAGAAAAGAAAGUUCCGAGAACUGAGAUUAAAAAGAAGCCAUAAGAUUCGUGGCAAACAUUCCCAGAACCGCUAUUUCUGACUUGAGCGUCGGAGGGUUUGCGCAGGGAAAACAACCGGCGUACUCUGACCUAUCUGUGUGCGUAGGAACCUCUGGAGAAGAAGCUUUAUGAGGAGAGAUCCUGGUCGUGGUGAAGUUGAUCGAGCAGAGACCCUGGUCGUAGAACGAGGACAACCAGAAUCUCGCAUCAAUAUUUUGGCGCCGUCUGUGGGGAGCUGAGCAAAAAGCUUCUAUUGAUAGCAAGAAGAGAAGGAAAGCAACUGAAAAGCAAUGGAGACAGGAGGAAGUAGUGCACAAAGGGGUGAUAUGAGGCUUAACGAUUCUGUGACACUGAGGGAGAUAGCUAGUGAAGCACGGGAAAAAGCCAUGUUCGACCGGAUGGAACGGAUGGAAAAGCAGAUGGAGACCUUGACAACCAUCCUGCAUGAGCUGCGGAGCGAACGAAGUGUAACCCAGGAGGAAAGGGUGAGAGGGGGUGGAGUGGCACCAGGUCCCGAUAGUGCAAGGAGAAGUCAAACCACCGGGAGAUUUGGUGGUGAAAGAGGUAACAUACCUCUGCGGGGAGAAUUGCAUAGAGAGGAAGAGCAGUACCCGGCAAGACAGAUUUUUGACGAGGACGACGGGGUGGCGAAUGUAGAGGAAACAGAGUUGAGGCAACACUUGCAUGAUGUAGUGCAAGAGCGGGAUCAAAUCGCAGCACGUGACCCUGGUCGUGCAGAGCAGCUGGAGGAGGAAGUGCGCAGGCUAGCGCAGAUAAUUGACGACAUACAAGGGAGGAGCAGAGCUCCUGGUUGGAGGAUAAUGCUGGACGGAGAAUCACCGCUCGCAGCAGAGAUCAUGAGGACAGUUAUUCCAAGAGAUUUCCGCCUCCCUGACCUUAGAUACUCGGGAAGAACUGAUCCGCUGGUACACAUAGAGCGCUUCAACGACAUAACUGGGGUACAAGGAUUAUCUCAAUCCCAAAGGUGCAGGGUGUUCCCACUAUCCCUUGAGGGACGUGCACGAGAGUGNNNNNNNNNNNNNNNNNNNNNNNNNNNNNNNNNNNNNNNNNNNNNNNNNNNNNNNNNNNNNNNNNNNNNNNNNNNNNNNNNNNNNNNNNNNNNNNNNNNNNNNNNNNNNNNNNNNNNNNNNNNNNNNNNNNNNNNNNNNNNNNNNNNNNNNNNNNNNNNNNNNNNNNNNNNNNNNNNNNNNNNNNNNNNNNNNNNNNNNNNNNNNNNNNNNNNNNNNNNNNNNNNNNNNNNNNNNNNNNNNNNGCAUGCCAUUGAAGUACCUGACAUUACGUUAUAAGGAACCCGCCGGGGGUCAAAUUCUUCAUGACUUGGUCCAUAUUCAUUGGUGUAAGCAGCAAUUAUAUCAACUCCAGGUGCAAUGACAUCAGGCUGAAAAAGGUAUUAAGAAACUAUCAAACUAAUGUGAUAGUAAAUUAUCCAAGAAUGCUUAUAUUUUGAACAGCUAAUAGAACUGAAAGUUUACUUCGCUGGUCAACCUUGAGGAUAGCUGGAUCGAUCGAAUUUGGUCCCCUAGCUGAGAAAAAAGAUGUCAUCCGAGAAGAGUUCUUAUUGAAUUCUGUGAUUGAAUUUGUCAUGGAUGCCACUGGGUUCCUGUCAUAUAACAAGUCUGGCGCAUGAGUUGCAAUUAACAUUGACAAUUUGAAGAGAGGAAAUUUUGAGAAACCGGAAAUAUGGAUUACUUGGUGUUGUAUAUGUAGGCAUAGACAGAUUGACCAUCCUUGUAAUUCACAUAUGCAGUAGGGAGAAAGUGAACCAUAUUUAAACUUAUGUUUUGAUCUUCUCGGCUGUUGGCCAAAAUCAUCCCAACAGCACCUGCUUGAGCAGCUUGCUGUCCCUUUGCAUCUCCAAGUUUAGCAUCAUAGCAGAUCAAGAUUUUCCCUUUAACUUUCUCAGGAUCAAUCGUUCCAUUCUUGCAUUGGGUACUGCGUAUGAUCAAUUCAAGUAAAUUACAAUCCUGGCUUUUGUUAACUGCUUAAACCAAAAGUCAGGACAAAUCAUUUGAAAAAUGAAAACACUUAUAUUUACAGGUCACCAAUUGUACUCACGCGUCCUCAUUCGAUACAUUAGCAACUUUGGCAGCUUCUCCAGCAAUCAAUGGAUAGAAAUCUUGAGUUAACGAUCCUUUCUCCGCAAUACUUGCUCCCUGACACGUCAAUGUGAUCAAUUAUAUAAUACUUUAUGUUCUACAACUAGCGAAUGAUAAAUUCUGAAAAUUUAGUAAAUUCUGAAAAUUCAGUUGAAGGGAAAAGAGUACCUUAAUAACCAUCUUGUUGCCAAGUGUAACAUAACUGGAAAACUCCCUGUCUGUUGUGCUAGCACCAACUGUGAGUACCCAUGGAGGCACAUUAUCCACGGUCUUUUCAGCUGGUCCUGAGUUGCCAGCGGAUGCAACCACAAGAAUGCCAUGCAUCAUAGCAUGAAAACUACCAACUGCAACUGAGCUCUCAAAAUGUUCCUUUGGUUUUGAACCCAGAGAAGCCGAAAUGAUAUCAACACCAUCGUGUAUCGCGACAUCAAAGCCAGCAAUGAUGUCUGCAGCAUUGCACAAAUUUGCUCCAUUUGGCUUCCAACAUACCUUGUAAGCAGCUAAACGGGCUUUGGGUGAUCCCCCUUUUGCUGUUCCAUAUCCCAUACCAUAAAGACUGACAUUAGAAACAAAGCUGCCACCAGCAGUUGACAGUGUGUGUGUGCCAUGGCCAUUGUGGUCUAUUGACGUGGUUAAGUUUUCAGGAACCAAAAAGCUGGAGUUCAUUGCACGACAACUUUCAAUUAAACCUUCGCUUAUGUACCUUAUUCCUAUCAGCUUCCUGCAUGUAGAACGCAAAUGCGAAACCAACUAAUUAGAAAGCGUGCCAGAGGCUUUUGAAGAUCAUUGAAAUAUGCUCGAAAUCGAAAACACAAUGUGGAUGAGAUAAAAGACCUAUUGCAAGUAAUUGCUUUAUUGGUGUCAUUUUGACAGGUUCCUUGCCACCUAUCUGGAAUUGGGCCCAUCCCUUCAUCCGUAAAACUCUGUGAUUCCGGCCAAACACCUUUUAGUAGUACAUGCCAUAAAAAUGAUUAGCAUUAAUGUAACAAACAAAUCCGGAAAAUAAGCAAACACUACAAGAGCAUUCCAAGUUACCUGAGUCAAGGUUUCCAAUAAUUACGUCUUCGCCAAACCGUGCCUUGUUCCAUGCUGAAUCCGGAGGAAUUUGAUUGUCUUUCUCUAAUCCAAGAAAUUCCCAUGAUCGUGUUGUGUGCAGAUCUAUUCCCUCUUCCAAAAAAACUGAUACAACUUCUGGGUGCCCUAUUUCCGAAAAAGAAAAAAUUACCAUUAAGAUGGAACAACAAACACAGAGAACUUAAAUAAAGUUUACACAACUAGACGGCUGACUUGCAAUCUGCUUUGCGUGUUCCUCUUCAAGGACUGCGCCGAAACCAUUGAUAUAUCGCCCGUAAGAGUGGAAGAUUAAGCCUGCUGCCUCCUCAACGCUGUUCAAAAAAAUUAUGUAAAAGAAAAUGUUGAUGCUAACUGAGCUAGGAAAAAGAAAAAAAUUCCAUUAGAGUUGUUUACGAAUCCUCCACCUUCCCAAGAAUGAUCCAAGAAAUUCAUGGUGUUUAAUUCUUGCUCGAUUGAUAUCAUGUGAGGUAGGAUUGCUACCAUGUGAAUGUGAUCCUAAGUAUACCACAUAAGGCUGCAAGAAAGAUUUUGAACCUUAUUAGCAUUGGAGUUUAUGGAUUUAGUUUUGCAUUUUUACUAGAUUUUCUUACAAUCAAAAUAAAGGCUUGCCUUUUUAGCAGUAAAAGCUGGAGUCUGCAACAGAGAGAGAAUAAAGAACAAUAGCAGCAGAACAAAACCAUUUGAGAGCCUCAUGAUUUAUGCUGGUAUUUUUUCUGCUGCUAUCUUCUCUCUCAAUACAGAGAACUAAAAUAAUUUCUUUCAGAAGAAAUACUUAUCGAGCCUCUGUUUUUUCUUUUUCCCAGGUUUAAAAUUACUCUGUUUUCCCUUUUUUUUUUAGGUGAGACUUGUGACAUUUGCUGGAAUCAAAAUUUUGAAUAAUUGGUUUUGGAGUCAAAAGUGAUUACGGGAAUGUUGUUGCCACUCAGGUAUUUGCUGUGUUUACUAAUUUCAGGAAACCGUGUUAUGCACAGAAAAUCAAGGGUCAAAAUUUAUUCGAAGAGUACCAGGGAUAGGAAUGAAGAAACAAACAUCAAAACAUCAAGAUAUUUUCUGUGUUACAGCUUAAUCAUUCCUUGAAAAAAAUGAGAUAUGUAUUUCGUAUCGAUGGCAAAGGCAAGUCUGGAACGUAUAAUAAACUUUUGAUUCUUUUAUCAUUUUUAUUUUUCUAACACUUAAUUUUGCACUAAAUUUAAACAAUGCUUAAUUAAAAUCCAAUAAACUCUCUUAUACCUUUUUUUUAUAAUUAUUGACUCAUUCAAACUUGAACGACCUGUAUUGUGUAACUGAUGAAACAAAUCAGAAAUGAUUUAAAAACGGCAGCAUAUAUUGCGUUUUGAAGUUACUCAAGCCAAAACAACAGAAGAUGCAUCGUUUUAAUGAGUGUUGAUAUUACUUGUUAAAAAGAUAUGUCAAGUUGCCGUUUCAUUUAAGCCGUUAUUGUUGAAAACUUAGAAGGACUGAAUUGCUCAAAACUGAAACCAUUUGAGCAAUAGAAUAAUUUUGUUAAAUUAAAGAAUUUUAUUUAUAUUUUACAAGAGACACUACAACGCUCACAGCUCACACUUCUUAUUUUUCUCUCUCAUUCUUCACUUCUCAUUUGAUGCCUAUAACAAAGAGUUUAGGGCAUUUAUAGUAACCUAGAACUAGUACAAACCACUCAAAUAUAAAGUUACAAAAAAUUAACACAUUUUACAAAUAUCACUAAAUAUUCAAGAGUUUUCUAGAUUUAGAUAUUUUCACCUUCAUUAGAUUUUUUUUUUUUUAGAUUGAAGUCAUCUCUCAUUCUCCACACAAUUCUUGAAACUUCCAUGGAUUGAGUUUUGAAAUUGAGCUUGGACAAGUAUAAUUGGAUUGGAUUAUAAAAUUGGUGUUGAACUUUUAACACUCCCCCUCAACACUAACUAUCAUCUUUCGAUCCACAUUGAGUUGUUGGUGGAACUCUUCAAACUUUUCGGUACUAAGAAUUUUUGUAAACAAAUCAGUAUCUUAAUCGUUUGUCUUGACGUACUUCAUCUCAACUUCACCUUGUAAAACCUUUUCCCCAAUGAUGUGAUACUAGACCCCUAUAUGUGUAGUUCUUGCAUGGAAAAUUGGAUUUCUGCUGUACCGUACAUCCGCCUUGGCCGUACAGCAGGCGAAAGGAACGUGGGCUAAGAAAAAUAUAUUGAAAUUAUUUAUAGAUUUAUAACUACCAGUAGUCAUGAUUGCAGAUUUGAUAGCCGCUGGACUCCAGUCAGGGUGUAGAGUUUUGAGAAGGCCAGCAAUACCAGAAAUAUGGGGGGUUGACAUUGAAGUGCCGAAACACGCAUUGAAAGGAAUUCUGCGAUCAUCGCUUGGACUCUUACUUGGAGCUACUGCUUCAGAGUAGGCGGCAAUUAUUUCAACUCCAGGUGCAGUGAUAUCAGGCUGAAAUUGGAUAUUAAAAAUUUACAAAAUGUUCCAAUAUGAAGUUAAUUACCAAAGAAUGUUACUUUUAUUAGAACUAAAAGAUGAAUGAUGGUUUAGUUCUUUUGUCAACCUUGAUGAUAUUGGGAUUAAUAGUAGAUGGUCCCCUGGAUGAGAAGAAAGUCAUUUGUGGAGAUGGCUUCGUAUUGAAUUCUGUCUUUACAUCACUGACGGAUGCUACCGGGUUCCUGUCGGACAGUAAUGUUAAGCAACAGGAUGCAUAUCCGUAAAAUUGAAUUCUUAGUAAAUUGGAAUUAUUCGUGAAAAGAAGGGAAGUGAAAAGGGUAAGUGAGGUACUUGAUCGAGUUGUUGUAGGCUAUGAUAGAUUGAGCAUCAUCGAAUUCAACUAAUGAAGUCGGAAGGUGGUAAGGCAAGGGCAGAGAUUCAUUUUCCAGCUGUUUGGGGUUGACUAAGAUCAACCCCGCAGCACCAGCUUGAGCAGCCAGCUGGCUCUUAUCAAUUCCGUGUGUGUGGUUCAUGCACAGCAAGAUUUUCCCAUUAAUCUUUUUUGGAUCAAUCGCUCCUGGGUUGCAUUCUAAGCUGCAAGAGGUUCAAGCAUUGGCUUUUGUCACAAAUAUAUCGCUCUCACAUUAGAAUUUAAGCCGCUCAUACAUAUAUAUCAUUAAAAGGACAUUACAAAACGGAAAUCUUUAAUACUGACAAUUCACUGGAUUUACUUGCCUAUCAUAGAGUGCUGCGUUAGUGGCCCUUGCAUUAUCUCCUGUAAUCAAUGAGUACAACGUUUGUGUUGCAACGCCUUUAGCCGCAAUGCUUUUUCCCUGGCAAACCAAUAUAGUGAAAUUGCCUCGCAUGUUAUUUUCACAGCCAUAUCAGAAGAGACUGGUGAACUAGUUUUAUUAGUUUUCAAACUUCAUUUACACUCUGACCUGUUAUAUAUGAUUCAGAACAAAUUUGCCAUAGCAACUUCACCUAGGUUGAGUUUGCAGAAUUUAUAAAUUUAACACGAAGGAGAUCAAUUUGAAAUGAAAAAUGGCCAAAUAGCAAAAAUUAGGGAAUACCUUGAAGAUCUGCUCGUCUCCAAGGGUAACAUAGCUAGUGAACUCUCUGUCCAUUGUGCUAGCACCAACCGUCAAUAACCAUGGUGCCAAAUUUACAACAGUAUCUGGUUUCGGUCCUUCAUUCCCAGCGGCUGCAACCACAAGAAUACCAUGCAUCAUAGCAUGAAAGGAACCAAUAGCAAUGGCAUCUUUAAAAUACUCGGUAUUUUUGUGACUAGGUUCGCCUAGUGAAACGGACAAUACAUCAACACCAUCAUGUAUCGCAUCAUCAAAAGCAGAUAAGAUGUCAGAAUCACGGCAAUCUAGUGGUUGACCAUUAACGUUCCAGCAAGACUUAUAAGAAGCCAAACGGGCCCUAGGAGAUCCUCCUUUUGCUGUUCCGUACCCAUUACCAAAAACACUCACGUUAGCUACAACGUUACCAACAGCCGUUGAUGCAGCAUGUGUGCCGUGGCCAUCAAGGUCUCGAGCCGUGGAAUGUUCGGGAGUCGGAUAAAAAGAUGAAUUUUGUGCACGAGCAUGUUCAAUUUGACCUUGGUUGUAGUACCUCAUUCCUAUUAGCUUUCUGUACACAACGUCCAACAUAUUGGAAAACUCAGAUACAAAAGAUUAUGUUCAUUUCAGAGAAUGGUAGAAAGUGUAAAGACCUAUUGCAUUGAAAUCCAUAAUGGGUGUCAUUCUGACAAAUUCCUCGCCAUCUUGAAGGCACCGGACCCAUUCCUUCAUCACUAAAGCUCUUCGAUUCCGGCCAAACACCUUUCAAUAUACCAUGAAUAUACAACAAGAGAUAUCAAGUCCAACAGUUAUUGAUAGAAGUAAUAGGGACAAAAUGAACACAAUUUAUUGAAUUUAUGUAAAAUUAAGGAUGUUGAACCAAAACAGACCAGAGUCAAUAACUCCAAUAAUAACAUCUUCACCAAACCGUCCCUUGUUCCAUGCUGAAUUUUGGGAAAUUACGUUAUCUUUCUCUAAUCCAAGAAAAUCCCAAGACCGAGUUGUUUGAACUUUUCUUCCUUCAUCCAAGAAAAUUGAUAGAACUUCUGGAUGCUCUAGAUAAAAAAAAAAAAAAAUACAACAUCCAUUUAUGAAAGAAAUACAGCGAUUGCAGAAUCAGAAAUUGGUAAAUUUGAAACGCUAACUUGCAAGUUGUUGGGCAUGUUCCUCUUCGAGAAUAGCAGCAAAGCCAUUGAUAUGCCGGCCGUAGGAGCAAGAGAUUGAAUCUCUUGCCUUCUUAACACUGUUGUUAAAAAUAACAAAGCUCAAAAGAGUUAAUGAUGUUGAGUAUAUCAGCAAAACCACAUAAUUGGUUAGGAAGCUUUUACCUUCCGAAGAAUGAUCCAAGAAAAUUGUGGUGAUGAUUUCUUGCACGAUUGAUAUCAUCAGCUGUGGGAUUUUUACCAUGUGAAUGUGUUCCUAAAUAAACUAUAUAAGACUGCAAGAUUUACAAACGUGAAAUUAAUGUACGGUUAAUGCUCAAUUAAAGCACAUUAUUCCAAAAAAAAAUUAAUAACAUGUAACUACAUUGCAAUUGGAAAAGGAAAAUAAUAAUAAUAAUAAUAAAAGACAUAAAAAUAGCUGGUAAGGCUUACCUUUUUGGCUGCAAAAGUUGGUGUUAGCAAAAGAGAGAACAAUACCAGGACAUACAAAUUUGAAACCCCCAUGGUUUCUGAUUUGAAAUAUAAGCCUGGUAUUUUCUCUUCCAAGAGAAGUUCUCUUGAAGAGAUGCGUAUGAGAACUCUGUCUUGCACAGGUUCUAUCAGUCUGUUUCUUCCGUUUGACAUGCGUCAUUUUCGUUGUCCGGAGUUGAAGUUUUUUAUGACCACAAUUUCAGGUUGGAUUGACUAUAUUGAGUGAGACCCUCCCGUAAGAAUCAAUCACGUCCUGUAUGUUUGGCUUAAAUACAAUAUGUAUCCAAUUAAUUUGAAAAUUAUAAUGAAAACACUGUAUAUAAUUCUUUUUUAAAGCUAGAGUGGUAGGCAAAGGCCAAAUCAAAUUUUUAAGCAUUAAUUAGUUAAGAGGGUGCUUGAAUAAGAAAAUCUAACAUUAAAAAAUUAAAUCUUUAAACUCUUAUUUGUUCCUUUUUCUUUAUUUAUUAUUUUAUUUUGAAAUGUUUAUUUUCUUUAGUUUAUUAUUACUUAUAAUAACUUAUUGGUUUUUAACUCAUUUCAAGUUUACAAUAAUUAAAAAAUUUAAAAAAUAGAUGAAAGUCCAGGCCCGACCCCGCAAUGGACCUAGCCCAAGCGUGGCCCUUAUGCUUCGAACCCUAAGCCCAAACCUACAUUGUGCCAUUAGGGAUGGCAAUGGGGAGGGGAGGGGAGGGGACCGAUCUCCCCGUAUCCAUCCCCGAUAUUUUGCGAAUGUCCCCAUCAGAAUUACUUGAGAGAAUCCUCAUCCCCUCCCCGAAUUAUAACAUGGGAUCCCCAAGGGUCCCCGAUCCCCGAAUAACUAAUACAAUUUUUAUUUUCGAUUUUGAGUUAAUCAUAUUAAAAUAAAAAAUUCAAAUAAAAGUAAAGUUUGAAAUAUAUCUUACAUUAAUAUCCAUUACAAAAGUCACAUAUAUUAAAUUAGUAAGUAACACAGCAUGUAAGGGAUACAAACUUCUUUUACAAACUAUCGUGAAUAAAUUAAUAGUCUUGUUUGAGGGAAAUACUCCGACGAGACCAGACGUGAUGAGCAGAUGUUUGGUGGCAGAAGUCUGUGAGCAGGUGUGUCCUGUAAGAGCCAGGUAGCAGGGAAACAGGGGCAGGAAUAUCCUGCUCAUCCACGAGCACGUCAUCCGCGAGACCAAUUUCCCGUUAGAGGCAUAAGGCCAUUCCUGCUAGGGGUCGAGGCGAGGAGACCCGGUCAACGACAGUUGGCAAGACGUGCGUUCCUAUCCGAGAAUCAAGGCACGAAGUCCAUCUCCAUUCGCCCACAAUGACGACAAUGGGGCAUCCACAUCCGAGGGUGGGGAGAAUAAUGGGCGUGGACUACGGAAGACCGGGAUCAAAGGAAGCCUAUAAAAAAGUAGCCAGCGAAGGUAAAAUGGUUAGAAUUUUUGCUAUUAGAACUGAGAAAAGAGAACUCUAAGAACUGAGAUUAAAAAGAAGCCAUAAGAUUCGUGGCAAACAUUCCCAGAACCGCUAUUUCUGACUUGAGCGUCGGAGGGUUUGCGCAGGGAAAACAACCGGCGUACUCUGACCUAUCUGUGUGCGUAGGAACCUCUGGAGAAGAAGCUUUAUGAGGAGAGAUCCUGGUCGUGGUGAAGUUGAUCGAGCAGAGACCCUGGUCGUAGAACGAGGACAACCAGAAUCUCGCAUCAAUAUUUUGGCGCCGUCUGUGGGGAGCUGAGCAAAAAGCUUCUGUUGAUAGCAAGAAGAGGAGUGAAGCAAGUUAAAAGCAAUGGAGACAGGAGGAAGUAGUGCACAAAGGGGUGAUAUGAGGCUUAACGAUUCUGUGACACUGAGGGAGAUAGCUAGUGAAGCACGGGAAAAAGCCAUGUUCGACCGGAUGGAACGGAUGGAAAAGCAGAUGGAGACCUUGACAACCAUCCUGCAUGAGCUGCGGAGCGAACGAAGUGUAACCCAGGAGGAAAGGGUGAGAGGGGGUGGAGUGGCACCAGGUCCCGAUAGUGCAAGGAGAAGUCAAACCACCGGGAGAUUUGGUGGUGAAAGAGGUAACAUACCUCUGCGGGGAGAAUUGCAUAGAGAGGAAGAGCAGUACCCGGCAAGACAGAUUUUUGACGAGGACGACGGGGUGGCGAAUGUAGAGGAAACAGAGUUGAGGCAACACUUGCAUGAUGUAGUGCAAGAGCGGGAUCAAAUCGCAGCACGUGACCCUGGUCGUGCAGAGCAGCUGGAGGAGGAAGUGCGCAGGCUAGCGCAGAUAAUUGACGACAUACAAGGGAGGAGCAGAGCUCCUGGUUGGAGGAUAAUGCUGGACGGAGAAUCACCGCUCGCAGCAGAGAUCAUGAGGACAGUUAUUCCAAGAGAUUUCCGCCUCCCUGACCUUAGAUACUCGGGAAGAACUGAUCCGCUGGUACACAUAGAGCGCUUCAACGACAUAACUGGGGUACAAGGAUUAUCUCAAUCCCAAAGGUGCAGGGUGUUCCCACUAUCCCUUGAGGGACGUGCACGAGAGUGAUACAGGAAACUUCCUCGGGGCAGCAUUAAAACCUUCGAGCAGAUGUGCCAGGAAUUUGUAGAGCAGUUUAGUGGGGCAAUGGCACCAGAAGAUGACAUAAUGGAGCUGAAAAGCAUGAAACAAGGGGAGCAAGAAACCCUUCGGGAAUUCAUCAAGAGGUUUCAUCGUGCUGUCCUCGACUUGGGAGCCUUCAACCAUCCUCAGGCGUUAAGGGGAUUGAAAGAAUGGGUGAAGAUAGGAAGGCUGUGGUACAACUUGAAAAGCCCAGUUAUUCAGACGUAUGCGGCCGCAUAUGAGUAGGCUAAAAGAGACAUUGAGAUUGAAGAUGAGAAGGCAGCACGGAUUAAGACAGACCAGUUAGAAGAGUGGGGGAGGAAAGAAAAGAAAGCAUUACCGGGGAAUCGGCCGAUCAGGAGGAGGGACCACCAGGCCUCGGGUAAUGGAGCAGGAGGUCGGGUAACUGCUUACCAGCCUCAUCAGAGGCCACCACAGUAUCAGCACAGCAGGGCGCAACCUCCUCGUUCCCCAGCUGGGGAGCCUUGGAGAAGGCAUGACUCGACGUAACAAAGCUACCCAGCAGGAGGGAUAGGGGACGCUAUUGUAAGUUCCAUGGCACUCAUGGCCACACCACAGUAGAUUGCAGGGAUCUCAAGACCUAGGUUGAAGAUUUGGUGAGAAAUCGGUAUUUGGAUGAGUUUAUAGAUGGGACCUUCCCAAUGGUAGCCUCGACAAGCGAAGGGGAGCAGAAUGACAGGAACUUGAGGCGCGAUCAGCCUGCAGUAAGGGUGAUAGAUGGGGGCCCAACAUUGGCCGGAGAUUCCAACAGGUCAAGGAUGAAUUAUGCUAGAUAUGCCAUGACCAGCAAAGAUGUAUUCUUCAACACCCCAGCAGCCAAACGUGCAAGAGUCAGGCAAGUGCCAAUCAUGUGGACAGAUGAGGAUGAAGAAGGGAUUCUAUACCCCCACGAGGAUGCUUUGGUCAUCAAGGCCACUGUUGCCAGCAAGAAAUUUGACAGGAUACUGGUUGACAUAGGGAGCUCAGUUGAUGUGUUGUUUAAGUCAACCCUGGAGGAGAUGGGAAUAGCAGACCUAAAGUUGGAUUACACCAAUACCUCAUUGAAGUGGUUUGGAGGAGGAAAGUUGGUCCCUCUGGGCGUGGUCGAGCUGCCUAUCACGAUUGGGAGCUCCCUGACAUAAAGGACAAUGAUACUGGACUUUGUGGUAGUGGAUGAGGAAGGUCCUUAUCAGAUGAUCCGAGGCCGGCCAUUUCUGAGGAUGAGCAAAGCGAUGCUGUCCAACCAUUAUCUGGCUCUCAAGUAUCGGAUGAAUGGGGUAGUUGGAGUGGUACGAGGAGACCAGAGAAUCGCACGAAGCUGUUACUCCUCGGCAGCAAAGGAAGCAAUGCAGAUAACAUCCCUUGAUACCCGAGUGGAAGCCAGGAAUGGCAGCUAGUUGGACCCGGAGUUUACAAGUUGGUUCGCACGGAGGGCCACGAGGUGAAACGCCCCUGGAGCGCGGCACACCUCAGGAAAUAUUUCAAAUAGACUUACUCAUGUUUUAAAUUUUUUUUUUGUUCGUGUCCGUUGUUUUCUAUUUUUUAUUUCUUAUUUCAAAGCAACCUCAUGUAAGCCGAAUUCAAUAAUAAAUGAAUCAAUGAGGAGUUUCAGUCAACUACACUGUUCAAGAAAUUAUCAAAGGCAUGCAAAGGCUCACCAAGUCUCAAAGCCUGUUUAUGGCGAGACCAGAAGCCAAGCGUGCCAGGAUCUGCUCGACCACGAGAAGGCGAGCAGAAUCCCAAGCUUUCCAGAAAUUAUCAAAGGCAUGCGAAGGCUCACCAAGUCCCAAAGCCUGUUUAUGGCGAGACUAGAAGCCAAGCGUGCCAAGAUUUGCUUGACUGAGUUUCAGUUAACUACACUGUUCAAGAAAUUAUCAAAGGCAUGCAAAGGCUCACCAAGUCUCAAAGCCUGUUUAUGGCGAGACCAGAAGCCAAGCGUGCAGGAUCUGCUCGACCACGAGAAGGCGAGCAGAAUCCUAAGCUUUCCAGAAAUUAACUAAGGCAUGCAAAGGCUCGUCGAGUCUCAAAGCCUGUUUAUGGCGAGAACAGAAGUCAAGUGUUCCAGGAUCUGCUCGACCACGCGAAGGUGAGCAGAAUCCCAAUCAUUGAAGAAAUUAUCCAAGACAGGCAAAGGCUCGUCAAACUUCAAGGCCUCCUCUGUGACGAGGACAUAAGCCAAAUAGAUAAAUAAAUUAAAAUUCCAAUGCGAGGAAGCAAAUAAGAACAAUCUUAUUAAGCUCUUAAAAGUUUACAAAGUUGUUAUAUAGAAUAUUCAAAAAGCAAUUACAGCACAAGAUAAGUUCAAGAAGAUGGCGGAUCAGUAUGCCGAGCAGCAUCGAUUGGCUGGACCUCCUCAGGUGCAUGAGGGGUAUCACCAGUUGCGUCCAGGGGGGUGCUCGCUGUUGUGCAAAUUUUAAUGUACUCGCAAGCGCACGAAUCUAUUGUAGUGUAGAUCAAUGGUGACGAGUGUCGAUCCCACGAGGAGGAGGAUUUUAAUUGUGUAUAGAAUUAAUUUUGCAAAAUGGGUGGUUGGAAUUAUGGUGGAAGUGAUUUAAGUUAUCCUAAAAUUGGAAUUGAAAUUGCGAUAAUAAAUUCUAAAAUUGGAAUUGCAAUGGCGAGAAUAAGUUGAAGCGAAAUCUAUUGAAAUGACGUACUUGGGUAUCUGGAUCCGUAUCAACAUGCAUCAUGGGCUAAAUAAUCCGUAUUAAUGCCAAUUAAAUCAUGAGGGGGGAAUCCACACCUCAUGAACCACGCUCUAAUCAAUAUGGUGCUAAGGGCUUAUCGUGCCAAAUAAUAAUAACCUUAUACUAGAGAGCCGGUGUAACCAAGGCGGUACUAGACAAGAUUAGUAUUAUUUGUCGACGAGAAGUCAAAACACCCACAAAAACUAGAGGGGAAGAGAAAAUAAAUUUACCAAAUAAAGCCCAUGACACAUGUUGAGACUUCACCUCUGCUGUACCGUACAUCCGCCUUGGCCGUACAGCAGUUUUUUUUUCUUUUUUUUUUAAUUUUACCAUAUAUUUUUUUUUAAAGGGUUAACUUAAAAGAAAUCUAGAGAUCGUGUAUAAAAUAAUAAACUGCUAAGCUGUAUAGACAAUGGGCAAAAGGGUUACUCNNNNNNNNNNNNNNNNNNNNNNNNNNNNNNNNNNNNNNNNNNNNNNNNNNNNNNNNNNNNNNNNNNNNNNNNNNNNNNNNNNNNNNNNNNNNNNNNNNNNNNNNNNNNNNNNNNNNNNNNNNNNNNNNNNNNNNNNNNNNNNNNNNNNNNNNNNNNNNNNNNNNNNNNNNNNNNNNNNNNNNNNNNNNNNNNNNNNNNNNNNNNNNNNNNNNNNNNNNNNNNNNNNNNNNNNNNNNNNNNNNNNNNNNNNNNNNNNNNNNNNNNNNNNNNNNNNNNNNNNNNNNNNNNNNNNNNNNNNNNNNNNNNNNNNNNNNNNNNNNNNNNNNNNNNNNNNNNNNNNNNNNNNNNNNNNNNNNNNNNNNNNNNNNNNNNNNNNNNNNNNNNNNNNNNNNNNNNNNNNNNNNNNNNNNNNNNNNNNNNNNNNNNNNNNNNNNNNNNNNNNNNNNNNNNNNNNNNNNNNNNNNNNNNNNNNNNNNNNNNNNNNNNNNNNNNNNNNNNNNNNNNNNNNNNNNNNNNNNNNNNNNNNNNNNNNNNNNNNNNNNNNNNNNNNNNNNNNNNNNNNNNNNNNNNNNNNNNNNNNNNNNNNNNNNNNNNNNNNNNNNNNNNNNNNNNNNNNNNNNNNNNNNNNNNNNNNNNNNNNNNNNNNNNNNNNNNNNNNNNNNNNNNNNNNNNNNNNNNNNNNNNNNNNNNNNNNNNNNNNNNNNNNNNNNNNNNNNNNNNNNNNNNNNNNNNNNNNNNNNNNNNNNNNNNNNNNNNNNNNNNNNNNNNNNNNNNNNNNNNNNNNNNNNNNNNNNNNNNNNNNNNNNNNNNNNNNNNNNNNNNNNNNNNNNNNNNNNNNNNNNNNNNNNNNNNNNNNNNNNNNNNNNNNNNNNNNNNNNNNNNNNNNNNNNNNNNNNNNNNNNNNNNNNNNNNNNNNNNNNNNNNNNNNNNNNNNNUCUGCUGUACCGUACAUCCGCCUUGGCCGUACAGCAGUAAAGAAGUGAUAUCACAUGCUCUCACCAAGAUGAAAUAAAUAUGCCCUCAGCUUAGAAAUAAUACGAUCUCAAGUCAAAUAAAAUGUUAGUCAACCCACUUUAUUUAUCUUUUUUUUUUAUUAAUUUUACCAUACCUCCUUGAAGGGGUUUGGAGGAGGAAAGUUGGUCCCUCUAGGCGUGGUCGAGCUGCCUAUCACGAUUGGGAGCUCCCUGACAGAAAGGACAAUGAUACUGGACUUUGUGGUANNNNNNNNNNNNNNNNNNNNNNNNNNNNNNNNNNNNNNNNNNNNNNNNNNNNNNNNNNNNNNNNNNNNNNNNNNNNNNNNNNNNNNNNNNNNNNNNNNNNAGCUAUCCAGAUACAGGGUAACGUAUCCCCUAGGAGGCCGGUUAGGAGUAUCCUUCUUUCCUGGGACCUUGAGAGGUAUCUCACCAGGAAUGCUAUACCUAAGCCGGAGGUCACUGAGGUCGUGCACGUCAUGUAAUCAAUGGCAUAAUCACGCGACAAGGCUCUACCUCCUACUGUAGCCCGUUCUUCUGGUCGUGAUGUUCCAGAUGGAGACACCUCACCAGAGUCACCUUCUUCAUUCUCACUUAAGGUGUCCUCAGAGCCAGAAGGUCCCUCCUCACCAUUGUUUCCGCUCGUGGAGGUUGUUUGGGGGGACAUCCUCCUAGCACUAGUCCCGACACUAAACCUAAUGGGUUCUAAGGGGAUCCCGGGGUCAAAAGCAGGAUCAGUGAGCAGACCAGGCAAGAAACCUAGUUCGUCGUCAUCAAUCUCAACGACUUUCUCCCUACCCUUCGACAUUCCCUAGGUAAUAACCAAAACACCACCACCAACUACUACCCCAAGCAAAACAAAGAAAAAAGAAGUUUUCUACAAACUAUCCGAGACCGAGGAAAAAGAAGUAAUACCUGAAGUACUGUUUCAGUCGGAGAAAGGCAAUGAUGGGGGCUUUUAUGCCGAAACUUCUUCGCCGGAAAGACAUGGACAGAGACGGUGGAAAUGGCUAAUUUCCCUUCGAGAGGUUUUGCUUCGCCGGAGAGACAUGGACAGAGACGGUGGAAAUGGCUAAUUUCCCUUCGAGAGGUUUUGGGUUACCUUAUUGGAAGAAAAACCCUUGGAUAGCCAGCAUUUAACAGCAUCGAAUCCUGAGGGUCUCGUAACCGUCGGUUUGAAAUUCAAAAUGGAGGGGUGGAUCUCUGCCACAUCACCUAAUCCGCAAUUAAAUGCGACACGACUCUUGACAGCCUUUUCCAGUCCCACGCGACCAAGAACCGCUAAGUUUCUACUAUUGGUCCAUUACAUUACCCAACACCAGAAACUGGGGGACCGGUGUUUGAGGGAAAUACUCCGACGAGACCAGACGUGAUGAGCAGAUGUUUGGUGGCAGAAGUCUGCGAACAGGUGUGUCCUGUAAGAGCCAGGUAGCAGGGGAACAGGGGCAGGAAUAUCCUGCUCAUCCACGAGCACGUCAUCCGCGAGGCCAAUUUCCUGUAAGAAGCAUAAAGUCAUUCCUGCUGUAUUCUUGCUAAGGGUUGAUUCGAGGAGACCCGGUCAACGACAGUUGGCGAGGCAUGCUCUCCAGCCCGAGAAUCUAGGCACGAGGAAGCCUAUAAAAAGGUAGCCAGCGAAGGUAAAAGGGUUAGACUUUUUGCUAUUAGAACUAAGAAAAGAAAGUUCCGAGAACUGAGAUUAAAAAGAAGCCAUAAGAUUCGUGGCAAACAUUCACAGAACCGCUAUUUCUGACUUGAGCGUCGGAGGGUUUGCGCCGGGAAAACAACCGGCGUACUCUGACCUGUCUGUGUGCGCAGGAACCUCUGGAGAAGAAGCUUUACGAGGAGAGAUCCUGGUCGUGGUGAAGUUGAUCGAGCAGAACCCUGGUCGUAGAACGAGGACAACCAGAAUCUCGCAUCAACAUAAUUUAUUAUCAUAAGUUAUAAGAGUAGAAUAACUCCAAAACCAUAUAAUGUCAAUCCAUAUUAACAAUAUUAUUAUUUUCCUAGAUAUUUACAUAUAUAACUAUAUUCAACAUUAUGCAUAACUUCACUUACCUUGAUUCGAAGCAAUCAAUAAUAACCCCAAUCACAUGAGCUCACUUUUGGCCUAUAAUUAUCAAGAUAAGAUAUUUAUCAACAUUCUAUUCGAUUAUGACUUUGAUAAGAAAACCCAAAAAUCCUUAAACCAUUUACUCAAGCAUAUCAAUUCACUAAACUACACUAGACUAUCUUACAAGAGCUGAUUUCUAAUAAGAUAUAACUAUAUCGUAAAAAUCACAUAUAUUACAAAAAGCUACUGUGCACAUGUUGGCAUUCAAUAUAAAAUUUAACAAGAUUAAUCAGAGUUCACAAACAUCUCUGAAAACUUAUUUUCCACCAAAAAAAAAAUAAUCAAAAUUGUCCAGUGACAAUAUGAACAUAGGACUACUGAUUCGAAAAUUCAUUACUUUAGUUAUGCAUGUUUAAAAAUAGUGAUUCAAAUUUUGAUGAUCAGAGGAGACAAUAGGGAAUCUGAAUUAAAAUUUGUAAGGCAUUUAUUCAUGAACUUAAAUAUCAACCCCUGCAAUUCUGCAAGACAAUUUCUAAGAUUGCAGCAGUCCAACUCUAUGAUCUUUUUUAUGAUUUUUAUAUAAAGCCAAAAAAUUAUGAAUUUAAAUAUGUAGAAACUAGAUAUAUGUACAUAGAAUACUAAAAAUUCUUAGAAUUUUGAGAAAUCAUUUAAAUUACGAAAUAAAUUAGAGAUAUAGGAAUUGCUGCUGAAGUCUGAAGAUCAUAAUUUUCUAGCACCAGUGUUUCAAAUUCAAAAAAUCAAAACAAUUAAUAUAGAGUUUUUGCAAUGGCCAAAAUUUCCGGGAUAUAUUCGAAAGGCAAUCAUUAAAUUCUUUUAAAAAAAAAAUUUGAGUCAUUUGCCGAUAUAAAGAUGCAUAUAUAAAUAACAAUGCUUACUUGUGGAGAGCAGCAAGCCGGACAAGCUCAAAUGAGUUGAGAGAUUGUAAAAAUUGGAUUACUUGAUUGGUUUUACAAACACUAAAAAAGAAUAUUCAAUGACUUUUAGUCAACUUUGCUUCGUCGCUAUUUGGCUAUCUGGGUAAAUUAUAAAAGAUAAAAUAAGAGACAAGAGUUAUAUAAUUGGCAGCACCGAUAUUCUCACACCAAUAAGCACUACAGUUAGCACAAAACGGUUCGUACACUCUUAAAUGACACAGCAAAUGGCAGAUGUAUGAAUAACGAAAUCAUUUCUAGAAAUGAAUACUACUGUGGCGAGAAAAUGCCUUACUUCAUCAUAAGGUCCUUGCUUUGUUGCAAACCCACAUCGAUAAACACCAUUGUUUAUCCCAUUGUAUAUCCAUUCAUUAGUCCCAUCAAUUUGAUCUCGCUGAUCAGAUGGAUGCAGAUCCAGAGAAGCAUUUUCAGCUAUAUCAUUGAAUUCCGUAUUAAACAUGCGGAUUAUCUCCGCACUCUCAUUAUUAACAAUCGUCUUCAACUUCUUAUCCCACAGUACCUAGUAUAGAACAAAACCACUCAAGUAAGUUAGCACAUGCAAACAUAGAGAGCAAUAUUCAAAUGGAGAUCACUAGUUAAGUGAACAUACAGGGACAGUGAACUUCCUUGAGUAGUUUGUACUUGCGAGCUCAUACAGGCCUCCUAUAGUUUUGGCUCCAUUCAAGGGGUCAGGCUCAGCUCCUGGUUCCUCAGUAUCCGUCGCCGGAAAAACCCAUCCCCUAUGCUCAUCGGUUUCUUUUGUUCGUUCCCAAAUUGGUUACCAUUUCUCAGAUCAAAGGCAUAAUCCCUUUAUAUUUUCCCUUAAAAUAAUUCACUGAACACUAAAGUUUGUCGUAAUAUCUUACAAUGAGUAAGUAAUAUGUAUCACAGUAUACACUAAACGAUAUAAAGUUAUAAACUAUGAUUUGUGGUGAAAUGAUCUAUUCUUAUGUACGAAUUAUACGAAACAUUUUGAUAUAAUCGUCCAAAUUAUAGUAAAAAAAGAAACGCUAGCUUUUGAGGUAACCUAAGAAGUGUCUUGCCGGUUAACUUUCACUACCUAUUUUUCACCUAAUCUUUAGCUCCCUUUUCCUCUCCGACACAUACCCUCAAAUAUAUAGGGGGGUGGGGGAACAUUUUGUUUGUUAUUUUUUAUUUAAACUGGUAGGUUUUUAACCUAAAAUGUUAUAAAUUUUUGGUUUGAGUAAUUAUUUCAUUACUAUGGUACCAAAACAUCCCUAAUAUAUGUGUGUAUAUUUGCUAAUUACUAUGAAAGCUCUAGACAUAAAAUAAAAUAUAAAAAAAGAAAAGAAAAGAAAACUUGAAAAGGCCAGAACAUACAUUAUCCAUCAUAAAUCUUGCCCAAGCCUAAUACAAACUUUGUUUUAAGAAAUCAAUUUACAUUUUAGCAUAGAAAUCAUUAAUUUACAUCUUUAAUUUCUGCUGAAAAAUCAUGAAUAUCUUUCAUUAACCUUUAUUUUCAUUUCAAAGUUUGAAAUUUUUUUUUUUUAAUAAAGGCAUUAGAUAAAAUUAUAAAUAUUUUUAAAUAAAUUCAUCGACACCUCUUUUUCUUAUCUUAAGGUGGAGCGUUAUUUAAAUCUCUCCAACAUGUAAUUGUGAAAAAUGAGCUUCUACAAUUUUAUAUAUUGCGUUUCUCUUUAUAUAUUUAUAUAUUUAUAUAUUUAUAUAUUUAUAUUUAUAUUUAUAUUUAUAUGGACUUUUGCAUUAAAUUUUAGUUGUGAUUUAUACUUACCCUCAUAGUUAUAUUGUACACAAUAUAUAAAAAGAAAAAAGGAAAUUUAAAUUUUGACAAAGUGCCAUUUUGUUAUAUAAAUUUUACUAGAUAAUAAGAGAAAGUACAUAUGCUUAAUUUUUUUUUUAAAAUUUCGGAAAUACAUAUACUUUGCAUUCGGGUUUUGUGCAAACUAUAUAUGUGAUAAAAAAAUUUGGUCAUCAACAUCAGAUAACAUUAGAACAUCACUCUUUUUUUAUUAUUAUUAUUAAAUUUUAUUAACUUUAUUAUUUUAGUUAUUAUUAAUUAUUUGUAUUAUUAUUUUUAUUAAUAUUAUCAUUAUUAUCAUUUAUUAUUAUUAAUUUUAUUUUUUUAAUUAAAAUUAUUUUUAUAAUAAUAUUUACACAUGUAUCUAGUUAAUGAAAAUUACAUUAUUUAAUACUAUGAGUAUUUUGGUAAAUUGACUCUCAUUCUCAUUCCUCAUUCCCAUUUAUUUUGCUAAGUAAACACAUUAAAGACAUUCCUGCACAUUCUCAUUCUCAUUUAUUUUUUGUAAGUAAAUAUUGGAAUCUCAUUCUUAUUCCAACUCAUUCUAUAUAGUAAACGCAUCAUAAAAAUGAAGAUUUCAUAACUAUUUUUAGGGGUGUUCACGAAUUGAAUUUUACGGAUUGGAUAUCAAUCCAUAUCGAAUCCACGAUUUUGCGGAUUAUAAAUUUUUAAUCAAAUCCAAUCCAUGGAUUAGUGAAAUUCAAUCCAAAUGUCUGUAGAUCAGAUGCAGAUUUAACCUAAUCUACCAUUUUAUAGAUUGGUUUGCAAGCUAAAACUUUUUAAUCAUAUCCUAUCCACGAACUAACUAAAUAAAAAAAUUAAUAUAAAAAUAAUUUUACUAUCAAUCAAAUUUAAAAUUAAAUAAGAUUUAAAUAAAUUAGUUGUUUAAAUAAAAUUAAAAAAUACAUUCAAAGUUUUAAAAUAUAACACACCAAAAAGAAAAAAAUUUCAAAGUUUUGUUUAGAUCAGUACAUGAAAAUUAACUGCCUGGAAGCUAUAUUUUUUAUUUAAUUAUUGUUAUUUUAUAUUAUUAUCGGAUAAGACAUAAUAUGAUGUUAAUUUAACUAUAUUUUAACUUAUUUAUUUAUUAAUAAGUAUAAUAUCAUAUUUAUAAGUUUAAUUUUUCUAUUAAAUAAAUAUUUUUUAUAUUUUUUUACUGAUUCCCAAAUUUUUACGGAUUCACAAAAGUAAAUCUAUAUUUAAUCCACCGACUGCGGAUUUUUAAAUUUUCAAUUCAAUCUAAUCCAUCAAUCCACGAAUUAAAUUUGUACAGAUCGAAUUUAUACGGAUUAGACUGAUUGAGCGGAUCCGAUUAAAUUCUAAACACUCCUGACUAUUUUAGUCAACUUUGCUUCGUCACUGUUUGGCUGUCUGGGUAACUGAUAAGGGUCCUUCUAUCUUACAUGCAUGUAAGAUAUAUUCCUCUCACAUGAAUAGUGUGUGGGUCCCACACAUAUACUAUUCAUGUGAGGGGGAUGUAUCUUACAUGCAUGUAAGAUAGGGUUUGCCAACUGAUAAUAGAUAAAAGUCAAAAUAAGAGACAAGAGUUAUAAUUGGCCAUUUCAAGCUCAAAGUGUAAACGUGCCCAGUGCCAAUUCGAAGUUUGAAAAGAAACGUGGGUUAAGUGGACUCUAUCAUCUUAGAAAAAAUGAAGAAACCAGAAAAAAUGAAGAAACCAGAAAAAACUGCUGCUGCUUCUUAUCAUCAACAUCUUUCAUUAUUACUUUUAUUUCUCUAUUGCAUUUUUGUAGCUGCAGAGAAAGAUUCAGUUGGGUAUGGCUACUCUGUUCGAUCAGUCGCUGUUGACUCCUCACUGAAGUCGUUGACUGCUGGACUUGGCCUCAUCAGGUCCUCCUCUGUUUACGGACCUGAUAUUCAGAGCCUCAAUCUUUUUGCCAGGUUUUAAAAUUUACAACUUAAUUGUUCCUUGCUUUUAUGUAUUGUUCACUGACUGUUGGACUAAGCAGUCAGCGAGAAAGACUUGUUUCAAGUUCUAAAUUCGAUAAGCUAGUGAUUUUUGAUGAUUUUUGGUUUGUGACUCUAAGAUUGAUUGAUCUGAUUAUGCUCUGUUUCCCUUCAGCUUUGAGACAAAAGACCGUUUGAGAGUUCGAAUAACAGAUUCCAAAAAACAAAGAUGGGAAAUCCCGCAGGAAAUCAUCCCCCGCCAAUCCUAUUGCACUCACUGCUGGCUGCCGGAAAACAGACUAAACUCACCGGUAAACCACCAAACAGGGCCGGGAAACCACUUCCUCUCCGACCCCACCUCAGACUUAGUCUUCACCCUCCACACCACCCCAUUUGGCUUCUCGGUCAAACGGCGAUCCUCCGGCGACAUUCUUUUCGACACAUCACCUGAAACCUCACACUCUGACACUUUCUUGGUGUUUAAGGAUCAAUACAUUCAACUCUCUUCAGCAUUACCAAUAGAAAGGUCUCAUCUGUAUGGAAUUGGAGAGCACACAAAGAAAUCAUUCAAGUUGACUCCCAAUGACACUCUAACUUUGUGGAAUGCUGACUUGGCCUCAGCAAAUGUUGAUGUUAAUCUCUAUGGCUCUCAUCCUUUUUAUAUUGAUGUGAGGUCGCCCAAUGGGACAACACAUGGUGUUCUGCUUCUUAACAGCAAUGGCAUGGAUGUCGUUUAUACUGGUGACAGGAUUAGUUACAAGGUUACUGGAGGGAUUAUUGAUUUGUAUUUUUUUGCCGGACCUUCGCCGGAUUCAGUCAUACAACAAUAUACAGAGUUAAUUGGUCGGCCUGCCCCUAUGCCAUAUUGGUCCUUUGGUAUCUUUUCUGUGAAUACCUGCUUACUUUGUUUUGAUAAGUUACGCUAAUACUUAUACACAAUUUAAUCAUUCUCUAUGUUGCAAUACGAUGGAUUGGAGUAAAUUAUUCGAAAAUUUCUUCAUUUUUGCCAUACAUUUGUUUGAGAUUAUACUAUACGGGUUGUACUUGUUGGCCACUUACCAUCAUGAGUUAUACAUUGUAGAGUAAGUUUGAGAAAAAGAAAAUAUAAAGUAUCCUUUCUUAUUUUACUUAGGCCUGUCUGUCAUUGUGGUUGGGUAACUAUAGGUUAAAAGUUACGGCACUAAAAUAUUUAGUACAUAUUAACUGUUGUGGCUUAGAAGUUAAGCUGAUUUAAUAUGCCGCUUGUAUAAUGAAAAACCUAAAAUAUCUUUAUUAUUUUUGUCAAAAUGAUUAUUUACUACGUACUAUUAAUUUUUAUUUCAUAAUCACAAUUAUUAUAACUUAAAAACUAUGGCACCUCACUACCAAACUAAGGCCUUAGUUACCUUAUUAACAAAUCAAAUAUAGAGUCACCACAAUUUGAUUUACUAGCUUUGAUAAGUUAUUCAUUCUGAAGUAUUCUUCUAUCUGCCUUGAGAUAAAUUUAUUUUCUUGGUGUAUAACUCUUCUAAGCUAGGUUUCCAGUUAACCAAAGGUGACGGCAUGACCAAUUAUUUCGUUCUUCCCAAUUUGAUUUUCACGUUGUCUUAAUGCACAGGAUUUCAUCAGUGUCGAUAUGGUUACGAAAACGUGUCCGAUCUUAAAGCUGUGGUUGCUGGCUAUGCAAAAGCUGGCAUCCCUCUUGAAGUUAUGUGGACAGAUAUUGAUUACAUGGAUGGAUAUAAGGAUUUCACUCUGGAUCCCAUCAACUUUCCAGUGAACUCAAUGCAAAAUUUUGUAAAUACACUCCAUCAAAAUGGACAGAGAUAUGUGCUCAUCUUGGAUCCUGGUAUGUAGUUAUAGAAAAUGAAUUAUCUUACUGCAGAAACAUUUUUUCAGUUUAUUUAUCGUGUCGAUCAAUAAGCCGGAUUAGAGCUCAUUUGUCACAAUAUCCUUUAUAUUUUCCCUUAAAAUAAUUCACUGAACACUAAAGUUUGUCGUAAUAUCUUACAAUGAGUAAGUAAUAUGUAUCACAGUAUACACUAAACGAUAUAAAGUUAUAAACUAUGAUUUGUGGUGAAAUGAUCUAUUCUUAUGUACGAAUUAUACGAAACAUUUUGAUAUAAUCGUCCAAAUUAUAGUAAAAAAAGAAACGCUAGCUUUUGAGGUAACCUAAGAAGUGUCUUGCCGGUUAACUUUCACUACCUAUUUUUCACCUAAUCUUUAGCUCCCUUUUCCUCUCCGACACAUACCCUCAAAUAUAUAGGGGGGUGGGGGAACAUUUUGUUUGUUAUUUUUUAUUUAAACUGGUAGGUUUUUAACCUAAAAUGUUAUAAAUUUUUGGUUUGAGUAAUUAUUUCAUUACUAUGGUACCAAAACAUCCCUAAUAUAUGUGUGUAUAUUUGCUAAUUACUAUGAAAGCUCUAGACAUAAAAUAAAAUAUAAAAAAAGAAAAGAAAAGAAAACUUGAAAAGGCCAGAACAUACAUUAUCCAUCAUAAAUCUUGCCCAAGCCUAAUACAAACUUUGUUUUAAGAAAUCAAUUUACAUUUUAGCAUAGAAAUCAUUAAUUUACAUCUUUAAUUUCUGCUGAAAAAUCAUGAAUAUCUUUCAUUAACCUUUAUUUUCAUUUCAAAGUUUGAAAUUUUUUUUUUUUAAUAAAGGCAUUAGAUAAAAUUAUAAAUAUUUUUAAAUAAAUUCAUCGACACCUCUUUUUCUUAUCUUAAGGUGGAGCGUUAUUUAAAUCUCUCCAACAUGUAAUUGUGAAAAAUGAGCUUCUACAAUUUUAUAUAUUGCGUUUCUCUUUAUAUAUUUAUAUAUUUAUAUAUUUAUAUAUUUAUAUUUAUAUUUAUAUUUAUAUGGACUUUUGCAUUAAAUUUUAGUUGUGAUUUAUACUUACCCUCAUAGUUAUAUUGUACACAAUAUAUAAAAAGAAAAAAGGAAAUUUAAAUUUUGACAAAGUGCCAUUUUGUUAUAUAAAUUUUACUAGAUAAUAAGAGAAAGUACAUAUGCUUAAUUUUUUUUUUAAAAUUUCGGAAAUACAUAUACUUUGCAUUCGGGUUUUGUGCAAACUAUAUAUGUGAUAAAAAAAUUUGGUCAUCAACAUCAGAUAACAUUAGAACAUCACUCUUUGCAGAUAAUAAUCAUAAAAUUAAUUUAUCAUUAUUAAAUUAAUAAUAAUAUUAAUUUUAUUAUUUUAGUUAUUAUUAAUUAUUUGUAUUAUUAUUUUUAUUAAUAUUAUCAUUAUUAUCAUUUAUUAUUAUUAAUUUUAUUUUUUUAAUUAAAAUUAUUUUUAUAAUAAUAUUUACACAUGUAUCUAGUUAAUGAAAAUUACAUUAUUUAAUACUAUGAGUAUUUUGGUAAAUUGACUCUCAUUCUCAUUCCUCAUUCCCAUUUAUUUUGCUAAGUAAACACAUUAAAGACAUUCCUGCACAUUCUCAUUCUCAUUUAUUUUUUGUAAGUAAAUAUUGGAAUCUCAUUCUUAUUCCAACUCAUUCUAUAUAGUAAACGCAUCAUAAAAAUGAAGAUUUCAUAACUAUUUUUAGGGGUGUUCACGAAUUGAAUUUUACGGAUUGGAUAUCAAUCCAUAUCGAAUCCACGAUUUUGCGGAUUAUAAAUUUUUAAUCAAAUCCAAUCCAUGGAUUAGUGAAAUUCAAUCCAAAUGUCUGUAGAUCAGAUGCAGAUUUAACCUAAUCUACCAUUUUAUAGAUUGGUUUGCAAGCUAAAACUUUUUAAUCAUAUCCUAUCCACGAACUAACUAAAUAAAAAAAUUAAUAUAAAAAUAAUUUUACUAUCAAUCAAAUUUAAAAUUAAAUAAGAUUUAAAUAAAUUAGUUGUUUAAAUAAAAUUAAAAAAUACAUUCAAAGUUUUAAAAUAUAACACACCAAAAAGAAAAAAAUUUCAAAGUUUUGUUUAGAUCAGUACAUGAAAAUUAACUGCCUGGAAGCUAUAUUUUUUAUUUAAUUAUUGUUAUUUUAUAUUAUUAUCGGAUAAGACAUAAUAUGAUGUUAAUUUAACUAUAUUUUAACUUAUUUAUUUAUUAAUAAGUAUAAUAUCAUAUUUAUAAGUUUAAUUUUUCUAUUAAAUAAAUAUUUUUUAUAUUUUUUUACUGAUUCCCAAAUUUUUACGGAUUCACAAAAGUAAAUCUAUAUUUAAUCCACCGACUGCGGAUUUUUAAAUUUUCAAUUCAAUCUAAUCCAUCAAUCCACGAAUUAAAUUUGUACAGAUCGAAUUUAUACGGAUUAGACUGAUUGAGCGGAUCCGAUUAAAUUCUAAACACUCCUGACUAUUUUAGUCAACUUUGCUUCGUCACUGUUUGGCUGUCUGGGUAACUGAUAAGGGUCCUUCUAUCUUACAUGCAUGUAAGAUAUAUUCCUCUCACAUGAAUAGUGUGUGGGUCCCACACAUAUACUAUUCAUGUGAGGGGGAUGUAUCUUACAUGCAUGUAAGAUAGGGUUUGCCAACUGAUAAUAGAUAAAAGUCAAAAUAAGAGACAAGAGUUAUAAUUGGCCAUUUCAAGCUCAAAGUGUAAACGUGCCCAGUGCCAAUUCGAAGUUUGAAAAGAAACGUGGGUUAAGUGGACUCUAUCAUCUUAGAAAAAAUGAAGAAACCAGAAAAAAUGAAGAAACCAGAAAAAACUGCUGCUGCUUCUUAUCAUCAACAUCUUUCAUUAUUACUUUUAUUUCUCUAUUGCAUUUUUGUAGCUGCAGAGAAAGAUUCAGUUGGGUAUGGCUACUCUGUUCGAUCAGUCGCUGUUGACUCCUCACUGAAGUCGUUGACUGCUGGACUUGGCCUCAUCAGGUCCUCCUCUGUUUACGGACCUGAUAUUCAGAGCCUCAAUCUUUUUGCCAGGUUUUAAAAUUUACAACUUAAUUGUUCCUUGCUUUUAUGUAUUGUUCACUGACUGUUGGACUAAGCAGUCAGCGAGAAAGACUUGUUUCAAGUUCUAAAUUCGAUAAGCUAGUGAUUUUUGAUGAUUUUUGGUUUGUGACUCUAAGAUUGAUUGAUCUGAUUAUGCUCUGUUUCCCUUCAGCUUUGAGACAAAAGACCGUUUGAGAGUUCGAAUAACAGAUUCCAAAAAACAAAGAUGGGAAAUCCCGCAGGAAAUCAUCCCCCGCCAAUCCUAUUGCACUCACUGCUGGCUGCCGGAAAACAGACUAAACUCACCGGUAAACCACCAAACAGGGCCGGGAAACCACUUCCUCUCCGACCCCACCUCAGACUUAGUCUUCACCCUCCACACCACCCCAUUUGGCUUCUCGGUCAAACGGCGAUCCUCCGGCGACAUUCUUUUCGACACAUCACCUGAAACCUCACACUCUGACACUUUCUUGGUGUUUAAGGAUCAAUACAUUCAACUCUCUUCAGCAUUACCAAUAGAAAGGUCUCAUCUGUAUGGAAUUGGAGAGCACACAAAGAAAUCAUUCAAGUUGACUCCCAAUGACACUCUAACUUUGU
rnacentral:lncRNA from 1 species